rnacentral:lncRNA from 1 species
UUCUUCUUCUUCUCUUCUCCUUUCUUUCUUUUUUUUUCUUCUCCUUGCUGCUGCUUCUUGCUUCCCGAGUUGCUGCUUCUUCUUGCUUCCAGAAGUUGGUUUUAUAAUGGGGUGGUGCCGCCUCUAUCAGAGGCACAACCGGUGUCGCCUAUGCCAGAGGUACAACUGGUGCCGCCUCUGGCACCCACACAACCCCUUUUUUUGUUUUUAACCUUUUUUUUUCCUUUUUAACAGAAAAUGACAGAAUGAGUGAGACCCAGGGUGGUCACGCCACUGCUAUAGGCGGCACCACCCUGGUCCAUACCAUUUUCGUCAUUACUUUUUGCUUUAUACCAUUUCAGUAUAUUUUUUUUAAAACUAUAUUAGUAAAAAACCCACAAGAGGCAGAAGAGUAUGUUUUAAUUAUAUCUAAUUUAUUUUAAGAAGUCUUUUAAUUUUAUUUAUUUUCCUCAUUAAUAAUGUGGUAAUUUAUAAUGCAUCUUUUAAUACAUUAAAUAAAAUUAUAUUAACCCCUUUUUUUUUUCUUUGCCUUGCAAGCUGAACAAGGCUAACCUGUUUUUCUAAUUAAUUUUUUAAAAGGCUAAGAGGGAAGAAUAGACUAGACCAACUUGGAGGGUAUUUUAAAUAUUAUAAGACGUGAGAAUUAAAUAAACAUACCAAAUUUUGUUUGGACAAUAGAGAGUAAUUGAAUAAAACUAUAAUUAUUAGAAUAGUAAUUAUACUCGUUUGUAAUUACAAGAAAUUUUAAUUCCUUAAAUGUGUUUAGUUGACAAAGUGUAAUUACAUUGUAUUCCCUAAAGGUCUUGACGAUUUAAAUAUUAUUGGAACUUCCAAAAAACUUCACUUACAAUGAAUUGUUUAAAGAAAGAGAUGAAAGGUUUUGGAAAACUCCCGAAGAGCUUCAAUACCAAUUGGCUAUGCUAAUUUUGAAUAUUUAUUGAAUCCACAUAAAAGUAGAUCUCAAAUGAGAUAUUUAUUUAAAUGUGGAGGUACUACCACAUCAUGGUGUUCGACAAAAUAAACAUUAACUCCUGCCUCUUCAAAUCAUGUAGAAAUAAUUGCAAUGCAUGGAAUAAGCCGAGAAUGUAUUUGACUAAGGUUGUUGACCCAACAUAUCCAGAAGAUAUGUGAUUCAACUCUAUAAGAAAAGUGUCAACUAUUUUAUAGAAAGAUAUUACAGAAUGUAUAGCUCAAUUAAAAGGUGGUUACAUCAAAGGUGACAGAAUGAAAAGAUUUCAUCAAAAUUAUUCUUCAUUCAUGAUCUUAAGAAGAAAAGUGAUAUAAAAGUUCAAUAAGUUUGUUCUAGAAAUUUGGUAGUUCUUUUUACUAAGGCAUUGCAACCAUAACAUUUGAAAGACUAGUAUACAAGAUUGAAAUGCGUUGACUCAAAGAUGUACUGCGAUGCUAACAUUAGGGAGAGUUUUAUACACAUUGUAGUUUUGGCCUACUAGGUUUUACUAGUAAAGAGUUUUAUACACAUGCGUUGACUCAAAGAUGUACUAGUUUGAAGGGACAAGUAAUUUUUAUCUUAACUUUGUACUAGACAGUAGGUUUUUUGUUCAAUGAUGACAUGGCAAUGUCAACAUUAUUGUCAGAAUCCAACUAGUUUAACAGGUUGAAUUGAGAAUAGAAGGUUUAACAAAUUUCAUAUAAAUAAAAAUAACUUGAAUUGUUACGAAUAGGUAAAAAAUUAAAAAUUAAAAAUUAAAAAUCGAAAAUAAGAAAAUUCAAGUCUUUUUUUUUAGCAAAAUACGUAUCUAUCAUUAUGAUUUAGUUCAUUUUUAUCUUUGAAUUUUUGUAAAUAUAAAUUUUCUUAUUUUAAAAUUUUAAUAUAUAUUUUAUUUUUAUAUUUAUUAUUAAUUUUUAUGUUAUUUAAUCAUUUCAUUCAAUUAAUUGAAUCAAAAAUUGAAAAUACAAUCAGUUUGAUUUCUAUUCCAAUUAUUAUAACAUUGAAUAUCAAUGGCUAAACAUAUAUAGUGAUCUAAUGGCUAUAAAUAAAAUAGGCAUAAUGAUAAUUUUAAUUUUUAAUAUUUACAUCUUUUGUUAAUUUGAUUUAUAUUCUUUUUUUUAGUUAAAUUUGUCCAUUAAAUUUUUUAAAAAAGUCAAAUUAUGUUUUUAACAGAAAAGUUGAUUAAAACAUUAAUUUUCUAACGAUGUUAGCAUGGCAAUCCGCGUAACAAUUCAUGUAGUCUUUAUGAUGAUAUGACACUAUUUUUUUUUAUAUAUUACGUCAAAAAAUAAUUUAAAAAUUAUUAGAAAUAUUUAACAAAAUAAAAAUUUUAAAAAGUUCAUAAAAUUAAAAGAAUAAUAUGAAGUACACGUAAAUUGUUAUACAAGCAACCAUUUAAAAUUUUAACAUUUUAGUUAGUAUUUUUAUUAAAAUAAUAAUAAUUUAUUUUUUUUAAAAUGGAUGAUAGUUAAAUUCGAUUUUUUAAAAAAAAUUGAAGGUCAAAUUUAAUUAAUAACAACCAAAUUGAUAAAAAAAUAAAAACCUUAAUAAUUAAAUUUAUCAUAAUAUCGAUAAAAUAAUGCUGUAUUAAAAAAAUCACAUUAGAGCUGUCAGGAUACCUUAAAAAAUUUAUUUUCCAUUAAAUGUUAUUCCAUUAUUUUAAUUUUUACAGUCUUUCCUUGCCAUGUGAUCAUUUGAGCAGUAUUUAAUGAAUGAAUAUUGUAUUAUUUUGAAAAAUAAUUAAUUUAAAUAAAUAAAAAUAAAAAUCCUAACAUUUAACCUUGGAAUUUUUUGAAAUUUUACUAACGAACAUGAUGAGCAUGUUGAUGAUAUUUCAAAUAGAUUAGGACAAAUUAGAAGACUCAAAGCCUGAAUUAAGGAAAGUAAUUUCUAAUAACAAUGAAUAUGGUAACAAAAAUAUGUAAAUUUCCCCCUUUUAUUGUCGCUAUUGAUUUUUAUUUUUGUAUAAUAAUAGAAUUUUUGAAUGAUGAGAUUUAGAAAGCGUUUGGUUUAGAAAAUGAAAUUUACUUAGAUGUGUUAUAUUAUCUUUUAUAAUAUAUUUGAUUGGAUCGUAAGAGUUAUAUUAAUUUGUUUACCAAAUGUAAUUAAAAGUAUAUUUUACUAAUUAUCCUCGUAGGACUUUUAUUUUUAUUUUAUAUAAUUACAUGUAUUUCUAUUCAUUUUAUUAUUUGAGCCUAAUCUUAUUUAGAUUAAGGGUUGUAUUAAAAUAUAUCUCUCCCCACUCCAUGUUUACUUUACAAAGAUUUAAGCUUAUAGUAUUUUAUUUUACUAACAUAUUAAUGAGUUUCUCUUGUAAAUUAAUUUCAUAUAAUUUUUUUAAAUGAAAUUGAGGAUGAAUAAUAAGUCAAUAAGACUUCUCUUUUGAUCAAACUGAUAAGAAAAAAACAAAAAAACAAAAAAAAAAUACUUUCUUUUAUUAAAAUGUGUUACUAUUUUUUACUGUUUAAGGGUAAAUUUAAUCAAAAUUAAAGAAAAUGAAUGGUAAAAUUAUUAUAAAUUUAAAAUUUUUGGGUGGAAUGAAAUAGAUAAAAUAUAAUAUAAGACAAUUAAUUUUCCUCGUAAUAAUAAAUAUAAUAUAUAUAAUUGAAAAUUACUGAAGAAAAUAUUAAAGAAUUUAAGAAUUUAAGAAUUUAAGUCAUUAAUUAUUAUUUUGUUUUGGUUUAAGUAGAAUUAUAACAUCAUAUAUUCAACCCAAUCAUUGGGUCCGACCUACGAGAUACUACAAUUAUCAAAUUAGUAAAUUUAAAAUGUUAUGCAACAUUUAAUCAUUUAAAUACAUAAUUAAAUAGCAUUCAUGUACAUAAAUUAUUACACAAUCAUUUUUGGGGUUCUAUACGAGCUUACGAAAGCUCUUUUGUUAACCCGAGCUCGAAUUAGGACCAAUUUGUAAAGUUUUAAAACAAUUCAAGACCAAUGUCAUGACCUCACAAUCUCCACGUCGUAAUGUCGCCAACUCAGUAAGUCAUAUCGUGACUUCGAACAUGUCAACAUCGCAACAUCAUUCACUAUCGGCACCAUGUUGUUACAUUGGAUGUUUGUGGUUGUGACGAGAUACCUGUUUUUGACAAAAACAGCAUUUUGGUUCCAUUUCAAAUUCAUACCACUUCAUGCCAAUUAAAAUCACCUAACCAAUUCCACAACAAAACUAAUCAAACAUGAGUUCAACAUAUUCAAUAUGAAUCCAUCUCAAAGCAUUCAUUCAAAUACCAAAUUUACUUAAGCUAAAACAUGUUACAACAUACCAUUCAACUUCCACAACUAACCUAUCCAUUUCAUAUUGUACAACAUGAGGCUAUAUGACCUUAUCUUGAACUAAAACAAACAUACUUCAAGCAUACUUCCAAGCAUCACUUUUCAAAUAGGUAAAUUCCAACCAUUCAUUAACUUAACUACCUAUUCUACCUCCUUUUUACAACAUUCCACAUACCAAAGCAUAUAAGCAUAUAUCAUCACAUAUUCUAGCAUGAAACAUAACUAAUAUCAUACAUUUAACAAGUCACAAAGGCAACACAUUAUACAAAAUGGGCUAUGCCACACUUGCCAAAUGGUAAACACUUCCAAGUACUAAAGUAAACACUAAGACCCUUAUAUACAUGCCACAACACUAUACUUAAAAUGAUCACAUAACUACCGAUUUGAUGAUAGUGUGAAUUUCGAGAUGAUACAGCUUGACAAGUUCCGCAAGAUGAUGAUCUACAAGGGAAAGAAAACAAUGAGGAUAAGCAUAUAGAACGCUUAUUAAGUUCAUAUAUAAAAUACAAUGCUUACCUUUCUUCUUCUUUUUUACCUAAACAUUUUAAGCUACCUUAAAUUGGCAUAACUUUGGCUAGACAUGGCACUUAAAACAUCAACAAAGUGAGCAUUAAAUUAUAAUAAAAGAUCAUUUAAUGCUACAAGCACUUAACAUACCAAUUCAUGUUACUUUCAUGUAACUUAUCUCAAUGGUACAUUUAAUAAACAAUCAUAAGAUAUUAACAAGUAUACAUAAUUUAAAUCAAUCAUCGAUGUUACUAUCAAUCAUAAAAAUGUAUCAUUUUCAAUUCAAUCCAUUCAAUGACUUUUCAAUUUGUAUAUCAAUCUCAUUUCAUCACAUUUCAAAUUUUCAAUUUAAUUUAUAUUGUUUCCCUUGAUGAACCCUAGUAAAUGGACUCGAAUACAUAGGUAACUACACCACACCAGUUGCUUGUUCGAGCUGAAUACAUUUAUAUAUAUAUGGUUACUCAUCCGAGCUAAACCCAUAUCAUAACACAUCAGGUUACUCAUUUGAGUUAAACAUGUGUCACAUAAUACCCAAGAAUCCGCAACGAAUGUUGAAUCUCAUUAACAUAUAUAAUAAAUCUCAUACAAGGGCGUACAAGACCCUAUUGGCAUGUCAAUCGUAUCUUAAUCAUUUGCUAAGUUCACACGGGCAUCUUUAAACAUAUACAUUUCAAUUCAGUCCAAUUCUAGCCUUUCAUACCAAUUUACAAUUAAUCAAUUCAUAAUCAAACGUCCAUAUAUAAUUAUAUAUAUACAUGAAAUCAAACACAUAGCAACCUAAAAUAAUAAAUUCAUAUGGACUUUACCUAUUCAAAACACCAAAAAGUUGGUUCUUCAGGGACUAAUCAACAAUUUUUGCUUUUCCACGAUUAACUCCAUUUUGAUCCAAUUCUUGAUCUAUACACUACAGGAAAAUAGACUUUUAGCGGCGUUUUUUUUUGCCUUUAGCGGCUAAAACUAUUUGCGGCAUUUUCACAAGCGCCGCAAAAAACACUGCUAUAGUAAACGCCGCAAAUUUAUUGAAAAAAACGCCACAAAAGAUCAAGACUUUUAGUGGCACCGCUAAAAGUUAUGACUUUUAGCGGCAUUUGUAACAAAAGCGCCUCUAAAAGUCAUGGCUUUUAGUUGCACUUUUCCCACAAACGCUGCUAAAAACCGUGACUUUUAGCGGUGCUUUUGUUACAAACGCCGCUAAUUUUGAUAGAUUUGCAAUGUACAUUUUUCACCAAUAUUCAACCCUUCCUGCAUUAAAUCUAACCAAAAACAACAAAUAUAACAUGAAAUCCAACCAAACAUAGCAAAUGUAACAUAAAAAAUACAACAAAAAACAUUAAAUGAAAAUGAUACUUCGAUGUAAAUUAAUAAAUGAAGUAUAACUAAAAAAUUCUUACAAUAAUGUUAAACGUGACAAUGUUAAAAAAAUUAUUACAAGGAGAAAACAAAUGUCUAAGAUGGCGGCUUUUGCGACUGCUGAAACAUCUUCAUCAUAUGCUAAAGCUGUAGCUGAAGCUCAUCAUACUUUCUGCUCUGCUCUGCUACAAUCACUGUAGCCUCUGCCUCUCUCGCUUCUGCAUCCUCUCUAAGUUGUUGCUGGAGUUCUUCAUAUUUUCUUUCAACCUCGGCAAUUUGCUCAACUGUGCUCGCUUGCAUCUGAGCCAUCUGGUCUCUUAACCUCUGAACUUCAGCUUGAGCUUGACUCCCAGAAGGCAUGUAUUGCUGGGAGCCGAAUCUAAAAUAUUAGGUCGGGGUAACACCAGAUCCUUGAAAUUAAACCCGACCAUACCUUUCAGGACCUAAAACUUCAGUAAUAAUUCUUUUAUCAAUGUUCUCAAGAUUAACAGAACUAUCAGUCGAAGCAAUCGCUUCAUACUCUGCCUUCUUCUCCUUUAGUUUCUCCUAAUAAAUCAAUCAAAGAGUUAGAAACGAAAUAUAUAAUAAAAAGGAAUGCAACAUAACUUAACAUUAUUUAAAGCUACUAACGACGAAUUAAACCAUUAUAAUUAAACAUUAUAAUUAUUUAUAAUAAAUCAAUUUUUAUUAAGUAAAUAUACCAUAAUUUGUCCAGCUUCGGAUGUCAUAGGAGAUCCAUCUUUCUUCCUAUGCGUAAUCUCAAAAAGCUUAAGGCGUCUAACUUUUUGACCAGACGAGACUUCCUACAAUAUAGUAGAAAAAAUAUUAUUUCAUAGUAGAAAGUCAUUAAUAUUUGAUAGAAUUAAUAAAUUCAUAAUACCUCGGCCUCAACUACAGAAGUGAAACUUCUCAACCCUGCCGUGUGCGUGAAUUUUUGUUUUUGCCUGCUGCUUAUUCCAACUCGCUCACGGUCCUACAUAAUGUAAUUAUUAUAAUGUAUAUAGUAAACACUAUAUACCGGAAAAUUUAUAAGAAUUUGGAAUUACGUAAUACCUCUCCUUUCUUUGAAUUCCAGAAUCUAACCGCAUCUUCCCAUUGGUACCUCAGCAUUCCCGGCGGGACAUUUCGCAAUUUUUCUUUGAGGCUUAUGUCUUUCUUAAAAUAUUGUUUUUUCAAAGUGCUUUUAUGGUCUCUCCAUUUUUUACCCAAUGCCUUCUUGAUAUAGUCAUCCAAGACCUCUAAAGCAAAUAUCUCCUAAAAAAACACAAGUUUAAAAUGUAAAUACAAAUGAAACUUAAACUAAAGUAUUAUAAAUAACAAUUAGAUGUUUUGUUACCUUAAUAUUAUCGAGAGCUUGAUUUUUGUUACUAUCAGGCAUGUGAUGCCAUGAUUCGUAGUUGAUGGGCAACAUAUUGGCAUUUCGUGCUAUAAUGCCCAAAUAGCCUGCUAAAAAGUCGAGCUUCAGAUCCAACAGGCUGACGAUAACUGUUUCUACUUACUUUGACACGCUCAACAGGAUUUAAGUCAUAUAAAUAUUUAAGUAGCGUACGUCCUCGACCUCUGUGCGUCCCACCACUUUCAGCUGAAAAAUGAUAUGUUAUUAUUUAUAUUAAAAAUGAAAAAUAAAUCAAUAAUAAAAGUCAACACACAUUUAAAAUAAACUUAACAUUACUUUGAAAUUCUGCAGGCUCGUCAAGUGUCUCCGGCACAUUCGAAGAUCCAAUAACUGUCUGUUGUUCACUAUUUGCCUCUUCCGAAUUUGGAGUAUUCUGGACAAUACUUAAAUCUCGUAAUCUUCUUCUACGCAUUUUUCCUGCAAUACACAUAAAAUAGUUGAAAUUUUAGUAACAAAUUACAACAAUAAUAGUACAUAUAAAAUAGUUAAAUUAUAUAACAUGAGCAAGAUUAAAAUUAUAAUAUUAUGUACAAUUAAAAAAUCGUAAAAUCUUACUACAUCAUAAUUCAUAAAUAUCUUCAUCCACAUCUUGACGAACCCAUUGAAAUUGUGUACUAGUACUAGGGAUAUUUUCAUUUAAGUUUUGUUCUGGAAAAGGCAAAGUUCCUGAUCUUUCGACAAUGUCAUCUCUACUUCUAUUACCCAUGUCAAACAAGUCUCUAGAGGUGUUUCGGAGUACAACGUACCAACCCUCAUCAGUUGGAUCUUUCGAGUAAAAAACUUGUUUCCCUUGAGAAGGAAAUACAUACGGCUCGUCUAUCAAUUGUUCUCCAGUGUGAAUCAAUCAAGAGAAAUUCACCAUUGUAAAACCAAAUUGAUUGUUUUUAAUUCUGCGAGCAGUAUUAACAUCAGCCCAAUCACAUCGAAAUAAGACAAAUUUCCAUUUUCCAUAGUAAUCCAACUCAAUAAUAUCAUUACGAAGUCCAUAAUACUCCACAUUUCCCUCAACAGGAUUACUGCCCUUAGCACUAGCAUAACUUGUAAUUGAAGAAUUAACAACUAUUCCACAAUUUUGAGUUCUCCACAAUCUCUCGUGAUAUUUUGUAUGAAAUCUGAAUCCAUUGAUGAUGAAUGCACUAUAUCUUUUUACUACUCUAUUCAGGCAUUGGGAAAGCCAUUUAAUUUUGUCAUUAACGUCCUUCCCACUCCAAACCUAUUGAAUCGAAAGUAAAUUGAGUAAUUAUAAAUGUUAUGAGAAAACAUUAUUAUUGGUCAAUAAAAGGUUGAGUUGCAUACCGUUUGACUUAACUAUUCAUGAAAAGAUUCUGUGAAUAACUUAUUAAUCUCUCGUUGUUGUAAUCUUUGGGAGCGUGAACGAGAUAUCAAGAUUUGUUUGUACUCACUAUGUUAAAAAGAGGUUUAAUUGGUUAGAAAAUAAACAAAUAAAAAUGAUGAAUAUUUAUCAUAUUCUAGAACUUACUUGCGUAAUGGUUCAAUUGAAUCGUGGUGAAAAAAACAUAUCUAUGCGCUUGUAUCCAAGAUCUUUCAUCUAAUUCUGCAAUUUCAUCUUUACCGAUUGGUUCUCCAUAACUUUGAAAUAAAUAAGUUUCGUCAAAGUUGGGAUCAUUUAGCCCAGCAUUUCUACUUGGUCUAUUCAAUCUUGUUUCAACAUCUUCUAAAUAUCUAGAACAAAAGGUCAUACACUCCUCUGCCAAGUAGCCUUCAGCAAUUGAUCCUUCUGUAUAACGCUUAUUUCGACAAUAAGACUUUAAUUUGCUUAGGAACCUAAACACGAUAUACAACAUUAUCAAAAGUUAUAACUAAAUGUAUAGAGGUGAAUGAAUGAAUAAUUUACAAAUAAAUUAGCACCUUUCUAUAGAAUACAUCCAUCGAUAGAAAACUGGUCCUCCAUUUAUUGCUUCACGAGGGAGAUGGAUUACCAAGUGCACCAUAAUAGUGAAGAAAGAAGGUGGAAAGAUCUUCUCCAAAUUGCAUAAAGUCAAAGCGGCUCGAUCCUGUACUUUCUCAAGUUCUUCAACAUCUAAAACUUUGCCACAAAUAGCUUUCAUUAUAUUGGAAAGUUCAAUUAUACAGGACGUAACCUUUUUUGACAUACAGAACCGUAAAGCAAGUGGCAGUAAAUCUUGCAUCAAGAUAAAACUAUUAUUUAUGAGAAUUUUGAACUAAAACGUACCUUAAUAAUUUCAACAAACUGGUCUACUCCACUCUCACCAAGAAACAGAGGCUGGAGUCAGAAUAAUAGUACUUGUUAAGUAAUUUAAAGGGAAAAUGCAUAUAAAUAAGCAAAAAAGUAUGCAAUGAAACAUGUACCUGCCCAAGCAAUAGCUCAGCCAAAACACAGCCAGCAGACCAGAUGUCAAUGGCUGUGGUGUAUUCAGUUGCACCAAAUAUUAAUUCAGGUGCUCGAUAGUACCUAGAACAUAUGUAAGAUAUGUUUGGUUCCCUUUUUACCUGACAAGUUAAAAUCAAAAUUAGGCUCAUGAACAAUAAGGUAGUGACUGAAUAAGUGACUAGACAAAAAAAUUGAGAUUCUAUCAUACAUAAAAAAACUGGAGAUAACAGAAAAUUGGAUGGCAGUAAACUGGAGAAGCAGCAGAGGGCUAGUGACAAUUUCACACCACGAGGCGUGCAUGUCAAAGACAAAAGGUAUACAUAAAUUUUAGAGAAGAACAUGGUAAUAAAAUUUAAAACAAUUUAAAGCCAAUGAUGCUGAGUUGCUAACGGCACAGGAAAACAAGCAACAAAAAUUGGAGAAAGAAAGGAAGUAGAACUGACUUACCUUAGAGAAUGUGGAUUUCAACUAAGCAAACCGGAUGGUAGAAAACUGGAGAUUUUUGAAACAUUAGCCUGGAAAAUUUAAUUUAAAUGGUAAAAAUAUUGUUUACCUUGUAAUAAAAUAAAUAAAGUAGUUGUUCUAUAUAUAUUAGUGUUAAGCGUAUGAAAUAGGAAGAUUGAAGCAAAAACUGGUUAACAUGAUGGGGCAUUAACAGAAAGGCAAUAAAAAAUAAAAUAAAGAGGCCCUCAACCUUAUAUUAUUUGAUGCAGUCUAGUAUAGUUUCAGAUUAUAGAAAAUUAUGACAAAUGUUCCAUCAUUUAUGAGCCACUUAAGUUAUAUACUAAGGACAAAAUUUAAAAAUUGAAUAUACGUUAUCUCAUUCACCACUCUGAUUAUACUAAGGACAAAAUUCAGGAUUAUAAAGAUUUAUUAAUCACUUGUAAAAAUGAUGAAAAUCUAACAUAUAUAGGCUGUUCCAGACAGCCAUAAAUAAGAGACCUUAAACACUUGAUAUUAUGAUGGUAACUUCCCAUGCACAAGCUGUUUUGGACAGCAUUAAGAAGACAAUUCAUUACAUUUCAAUAUGCACAUUCUAUCAUCAAUUUGUCAAGACUUUGCACAGCAUUUAACAUGGUACAACACAAAACUUAUUAAGCUAAUUUCACCUUCAAUGUGUCUAAAUUUGGACAGCAUUUAACAUAGAAAUUCUCCAUGCAAAAACAUGUUUAAACUGUCCAAAAAUUGGACAGCAGAAAUGCAGCCAUUAUGCAUGCCGAAACACAUUCAAUCCAUUCAGACUUGGACAACAUAAAUGCAACAAGAAUUUAUAUUAGUUCAUAAAGCUAUGAAACACAAAAAAAAAAGAAAAAAAAUCUCAAAGACUCAAGUAUUUGGAUAGCAUUAAGAUGCUAAAAAAUGAACAACAUUAAUAUACAAAAUAUUAUAGCAUAAAUGGGAAAAUAACACCAAUUCAGACAUGAAACAAAUUAUUAUUUACUAAUGCUGUAUUACUUCAAAGAGCUAUAAAAAUUCACAAACUCUAAAUAAACAAUUAGAUGUCAAAGCAUGAAAAUGGAAUACGAAUUUGAGUUGCAAGUGCAAAUCCAAGAUGAUAACAAGUUCUAUUUGUGGAACAGUGAUGCAAAAAAUAAAGACAAUAAGAAGAAUUGGAAAAGUUGAUUAAUACAGUGCAAAAGAACAAAAUUAAGUAGUAAGGAUAAUCCAAUAUCAAAAGUCACACAAACCUCAAUAGCAUUAGAAAGUCCUGGAAUAGUUGAUAUGUCACCACCAAUGACUUUCAGAGUGAAAUCCAACUUUUUCUGCAAGCAAAAAAAAAAGCACAUUAACCUAACUAUAUCAACUUAUUAAAACAUUGUCAAACUAUUUAAUGUCAAAUUCUCUGACAAUAUUUAAAAACUAAGUAUUUGUGUUUUAAGUAUUUGUGUUUUCUUAUUCCCUCAACAAAUAUAAUACAGCUUUAACAAAUAUAUUUAACUCAAUAUAAUGCCCUGUUUCAUGACAGCCAUCCCUGUUUCAAUAAAUAAUUAACUCAAGGCAAAACAUGGUUGAAAUCAUACUGAUAUAUAUAAAAAUAAAGAUAAAAUACAUGGAAAUCAUGAGAUUAUAUCCAUUUACAAGUUAUAUAUAAUGAUAUAGAUAUGACAAUUUCAUGGUUUGUUUAACAAUAGAAAUGGUGAACUUUUAAACAGAAGGAGUACAAAACUAAUUUUUACAUUUGACUAAAAGUAAUAAAAUUAAACUAAGUUUAAAUAAUUAAAAACAUUAAAAACAUUAAAUCAUUAAAAACAUUAAUUUUCAAUUGAAUCAAACAAGACUUUAAUUCAUAUUCUUGAACUGAAAGAAAUGUUUGGCAAAGUCAUAUUAUUUUUGGAUGGAUUAGGGUUGGAUUUAGGUAUCAUAUCUUUUUAUAAUUGAAUUGACGAUGUUUAAAGAAUUUCAAAUUAUUAAAGUUUUAAAUAAAAUAAAAUUAAUUUUCUAUUAAUGGAGUUAUAUAUAUAAACUGAAUUUAAACAAAACAAAUCGAAUUUGGAUUAAUUAGACACUAGUAUAGUUUUAAUGAGCUAUUAGCAUUGAACAUAGGUAGAAAUGCAAGAUGUGGUGGUACAAGCACAAAGCCAAAUCUGCUAUUCAAACCAUAUGAUGCAGUCAACCAACAGCCAUAGGAGGUGGGAGGGGGGACAAAAGAGGUCUGCCCAAAGACAAUGUGUAAAAUUGGCUAUACUGCUAGAGUUUUUAAGUCUGUUUCUGAAACACCCAAUGAUGGCAAACCCCCCAUAAUAUUUGCUGUAAAAGAUGGAGAAGAGCUAAUACCAGGUGAUAGUUGGCGUUGAACAGAUAUACAAGAAUCGGAAGAGGUUUUAACUUCAUAACCCAAACAUCUCCAAAACCCUGAAAAGAGAGUGAAGCAUAGCAAUCUAAGAUUACCAAUGUUAGCAUGCUAAAGCCUAGGGUUCAAAACAAUAACUAAAUGAGAGUACCUCGAUCUGUUGGACUCCCAAAAGCUAGCCUUCAGUCGGGUUUGACUUCGAUAUGAAAUACCUUGAUCUUUCUGCUUGCUGCCAAAAUAAAAUAGAAGUGUUUCCUUCUAAAACUGAGGAGAGAAGAUUUCGGGGAAAUCCACUAUGGCAGAAAGUAAAGCAAAUUCGGGCCUCACAAAAACGACGUCGUUUAAGUUAAAAAUGAGUAAAACUUUGCGACGCUUUUGGAAAACGCCACUAAUACAAGCGUUCUACGGCGUUUCAUAAAACUACCACUAAUAAAAAGAAUAAAAACGACGAUGUUUCGCAACAAUCUCCUAAAAGAUAUUUGUGGCGUUUCCUUCAAAAACGCCGGUAAUUCCAACUUUUUGCGGCGUUUAAUAAAACGCGCCACUAAUAAAAAGGAUGAAAACAAUGACAUUUUUCUAUCUAUUCAAAGAUAUUUGUGGCGUUUACGAAUAAACGCUGGUAAUUCAUACUUUUUGUGGCAUUUUAAAGAAAGUGCCACUAAUAACAAAACUCAAAACGACGCCGUCUGCGAUCUCUUGACAGAUAUUUGUGGCGUUUUAUAGGAUGCGCCACUAAGAAAAUAAGUAAACGACGACGUUUCUAUUGACAGAACUUUGUGGUGUUUUUGUAAAAACACCGGUAAUUCAUACAUUUUUUGGCGUUUUUACUAAAAGCGCCAUUAAUAACAAAGUUUCAAACGAUGGCGUUUUGCAGUCGAUGGAUAUUUGUGGCGUUUUUGUAAAAAAUGUCGAUAAUUUUUAAUAUCAUUUAGUCUCUAUAUUUUUAUAAUAUUAUUAAUUAAUCAAAAUACUUAAUAUUAUUAACACUAAUUAAUCAAAACCCUAAACCUUAAAUCAUUAAACUAUAUCCCUAUAACCUUAAACUCUAAACUAUAUCCCCUAAACCCUAAACUAUAUCCCUUAAACCAUAAAUCACAAAACAAUAACACUAAUUAAUCAAUACUCUAAACCUUAAACCAUUAAACUAUAUCCCCUACUAAAGUACCCUAAACUAUAUCCCCUAAAACCUAAACCUCAAAAUAAUAACCCCUAAGCCUUAACCUUAAACUAUUAACCCAUAACCCCUAAACCCCUAACCAAUAACCCAUAACCCUUAAACCCCAACCCUUAAAACAUAAGCCAUAAACAUAAUCCCUAAACCCAUAAUCCAUAAACCUAUAAAUAGUAAAUCUUAAACCUUAAACCCUAAAUUAUAUACCCUAAACCAUAAAAUGGCCAAAUAAUGUAGUGUUUUAGUUUUUUUUAAAGCUAAAUUGAUGUUUAAUUAAUUCGUUAUAUUUAGGUUUUAACUUGGCCAAUAGAUUUUUUUUUUUAAAUUGAGUUUUAAGCGGUCUAAUUUCAAAAUUAUUUGGGUCUAGUCGAGAUUGAUUUCAAUAAAAUUUGCUUGUCUAAUAUAAUUACCAAAAUACUUUUAUAUCUAAUAUUAGUUUAAAAUAUAUGAUGAUAAAAUUCAUAUCAUUAUUUUCUGUAGCAUAAUGUUAUAAUUAUAAAAUGAUUAAUGAUAUCGUUAGAAAUAUAAUAAAAUUUUAAAAAUAUUUAUUGUAUUUUGAUUAAAAUAUACAAAAAAUUUAAAAUAUAUCAUAACGUACUUAUAAGUUAUUUAUGCUAUUUUGAUAAAAAAAUAUAUAUUUAAAAUUUAAAAUUUUGACAUCUUUGCGGCGUUUGUAACCCAAAACGCCACUAACAAGCAUAUAUAAAAAACGGUCCGUUUUUGCUCAAUCUUAAACAUAUUCGCUAAAACGCCGCUAAUGACUUAUAUUGCAGUGUUUUACAACAAACACCGCUAAUGCUACUAUAGCUCAACUACAAACGUCGUCGUUUUACUCAUCACAUUUGCGCCGUUUUCUCAAAAGCACCACUACUGCUCGACAUAUAGCGGCGUUUCCCUAAAAGCGCCGCUAAUGCUUGAUUAUUUGCGGCGUUUGUUACAUAAGCGCCGCUAAUAGUGAUCGUUUGCGGUAUUUUUUUCACAAGUGACGCUAUAGCUCUAACCUUUAGCGGCGUUUUUCUUUAGGCGCAACUAAUGUACAUCUGUUGCGGCAUUUUUUGUCCAAACGCGACUGGAAACGCCGCUAAAAGUCUAUUUUGCUGUAGUGAUACAAUUAUUUUAUACAAUCAAUCAAUACUAAACAUUUUUCAAUUAUGUUGUGAUAUGAAUAAAAUUAUAUGAAUUCACUUUUUUCAAUACCUUAAAAUUUUACAUUUUAUUCAAUUUAAUCAUUGAAUUCAAAAUAAUCAUAACUUCUAAUUAUGAGCCUCGGUUUAAAAUCUAAUUUCACAUAUAUUCAUUUGGGACCCUCAACUUUCUAUCCCUAUGAAAAUUUCAUAACAAUUUUUCAUUUUAUUCAAUUUGAUCCCUAAUGUACAAAACUAAUAAUUAAGCUUUAUAAUCUAGUCCUUUUCAUAAACUAAGCUUCAAAUCUAUCAAUUCCAAGCAUAAUUCUUCACAAAAUUAAUAACGAUAACUUUCUUACACUUUAAUAGUUUUACAAACUGAUACAUGGGUUAGUUAAAUCAAGCUCCCAUGACCUCAAAUUUAUAAAAAUUACAAGAAAAAUAACUUAAUUUUCCUUACCUAUUUAUGGUCGAAUGAUGAAACAUGAAAAUAGCUUCUUUUUUUUCCUUUAGGUUUUUCUUCUUUUGGAUAGUAAAGAAGAAGAGUGAAGGAGAUAAAACUUAUAUCUCCACUAAGUUAAGCUUAUAUAUCUUAAUUAUAAGUUAAUUAAUCUAACUUAACUUUAUUAAGUUUUAACCAUGUUAAUUUUGACGUUGAUAAAUUCAAGUGGAUUAUCAUAUUGCCAUCCACUAAAUUUUACUUAAGAAUGGUUUAAUUGCCAUUUUAGACCUUUAGCUAAUUGCAAUUUAAAUCCCUAAACCUUUGGCCAAUUAAAAACCUAUAAAGAUUAGGCUUUUACAAUUUAGUCUUGUACCUAAAUUAACUAUUUAAUUGGAAAAAUUGAUGGACCAAACAUUGAUAUGCUUUUAUAUUAACCUUGGAAAUAUUCAUAUUUAAUAUUUAUGGACUCAGUUUACAAAAAUUGGAUUCCAAAACUGCCUUUUCCAAUACCACUGAAAAUCAGGUUGUUACAUGAAUGAAUCAAAAUUAUUAAAAAUGGAGUAAAAUUGUUAAAAACUCUCAUGAUAAUAGGAAUGCAAUAUUACUUUAUAUUUCAUAAUCUUGGCAUUAUUAAGAACAUAAAAUUAUUAGCUCAAAAAUUGUGACACCCUAUACCGGACCAGAUUGUUGGUUACGAGCUAUAGUGUAUCACAUUCGUUGCCAGAGCAACUAAGAUCAAUUCACCAUUAAAGAGUACAAUUUGAACGAUAAAAUCAAACAAAUAUACAUUCCUUAAACAUACCAAUAUAAAUCUAAGUUUCAUUUAUGUAAACACCUAAUAACAUACAACAUAUUCAUCAUCAAUUAGGGUUGUAUAAAUAUUUCAAUUAAGGCACCAUCACAUAUCUCACACAUUUAUUAGACUAUAAGAAUUAUAAUUUACACUUUUAUACAUAUGCAUAUCAACCAUAUAUAUAUUACUACUAGAGUAUAAAAUAUAACAUUUGAUUAUUACGUCAUUCAACUACCACAAAACCUAACCUAUUAACUACAUGCCAAACAUAAGUAAUAUUGGAAACAAACAAACAUUGCUAAGACCGAGAUUGUAGAUUGAAUGUUGAGGUUAGUGUUUGAAAAUCUUGAAUUAAAUCUAACUUGUGCAUGAAUAAAAUAAAUCAUACACUAAGUAAAGCACUCAGUGGUAAUUUUAUAAUUUAAGUAUGUAAUAUUAGCAUUAAUAAUUCUACCCUGUAACAGCCCGUUUUUAGUCAAAUCAAAAUAGUAGUUUCGAAACCACAAAUCUAAAGUAAAAAUAUUUAUUUUAUUAUUAUUUUAAUGUUUACAUCAUGAUUGAGUGGUUUUGUGAAAAUUUCGUUAAGAAAUUUUAUCAUUUGAAUGCUUAAUUUUAUAAAAAGGACUAAAUCGUGUAAAAUAUAAAACUUGAGUUCUAAUAGCUAAAGGUGUCUAAUAGCUAUAGAACCUUAAAUUAAAGGUCCUUAAAUGGUAAUUAACCUAUUUGAGAUUUAAUGGAUGAUAGUUUCAUGGAAUUUGGUGUAAUUAAUAAAUAUCAUUAAGGUUAAAAUUGUAAUUAGCUUAUAAAGGUUAAUUAAAACAAAACAAAAUCAAAUUUUGUCCAUAUUUCUCUCAAAUUGCCAAAAAUUGAAGAUAGGAGAACCAUUUUAGGGUUAAAGCAUUCAACAACUUCAAGCUUAAAUUGGUGAGUGAUUUUAACUCGAUUUUUAGUGAUUUCUAUGUUUUUGUGAUCAUUGCAUUUAGUACUAGCUAGCCCAGGGGCUAUUUUGCAAAACUGUUAAAGAUUUUGAAACUUUCCAUUUAUGAAUAUGUAUGAUUUUUUAUGUUUUAUGAUAAAUUAUGAAUACUUAUUAUGAAAUAUACAAGUUUUGUUAAGUGAUUUUUAGUGAAAAUGCAAAAUAAGGAUUAAAUUGUGAAAUGCGUAAAGUUUGUGGUUAAAAUGUGAAAUAAAUAAAAAAUAUGAGCUGCUAGAGGCAUUAUGGUAAUUCGUCUAGCAUAGGUUUAUUGUGAAUUUCAUUAAUUUUUUAUUUUAUGAAAUAAGGACUAAAAUGUAAAAAAUGUAAAAUAUUAGGGGCAAAAGUGUAAAUGUGUUUUAAAGUGUGUUUUGGACUAAAUUGAAUAGAGAGAUAAUUAAAUAUGUUAAUUUUGAUUAUAUAUAGAUCAAGAAAAGAGGAAAUCAGACUUAGAUUAGGGAAAAAGCAAAGUAAUUGAAUAGUCGGUCCAUUCUGUCAUUUCCGUAUACGAGGUAAAUUCGUAUAAUUGAACUUAAAUGUGUAUUUAUUAAAUUGAUGGAUGGUUUUGAGAUUGUAUUUAUCUUAUUAGUUAAAUUUGUAGAACUUAAAUUAAAUGUACGGUUUAGAUAAGACAAGUUGCUGAAUAAGACCAUAGCUGGGCUAUGGCAAAUCGGAAAAUAAGACCAUAACCGGGUUAUGGCAUGUGAAUGUAAGAUCACGGCAGGGCCAUGGAAAUAUAUGUGUAAGAUCAUAGUUGGACUAUGGCAUCGAAAAAUUGAUGUACUCAUAUCGUAAACAAUUAUAAGCUUGGAGUGAUUUGGUAGGAGAAUUGGUGAGAAAUAGAUACAUAUCGAAAUAGGUAUGUACGGAAAUUUAUUCAAGUAACAAGAUAAAAGAAGUUGAAAAAUUAUGAGUUAAUAUGUGAUUAAACUUUAUGUUAAUUCAUUGUUUGAUGCUAUAAACUUAUGUUAUCUAUUUUGAAAUGCUAAUGAAUGAUGAGUUUAGUUCUUAUUUAUAUACAAACUUACUAAGCUAUAUAGCUUACUUUGUUUACUUUUCUAUGUUUUAUAGUAUUUCGAAGCUAGCUCAGAUUCGGGAAUCAUCAGGGACUUCAUCGCAUUAUCGAACAUCUAUUUUGGUACUUUUGAAGUUUGUAUAUAUGGUAUAUGGCAUGUAUAGGCUUUGGUCAUUUUGGUAUGUUUGAUGAAAAUGUAUUUUGGCCAUUUGAGUUGGCUUGUGAUGAUGAAUUUUGCUGAUGUUUAUAAAUGUGCAAAUGGUUCUAUUUUGAGUUUGGUAAUUAACUUAUAUUGUAUGAUUGAGGUUGAAAUUAUAAUGCUUAAUGAUAUUAGGUAAUUUGAUUGCUAAAAGGGUUGAUAAUUUGGAAAGCUAUGUACUUGUGAAUUGAUGAAUGAUAAUGCAUGUUUGGAAUGGUUUAGUUAAUUGAAUUGUAUAUGUGAAUUAGGUAUGUAAAUAAAUGGCAAAUGGUGGCUUAUUUGUGAUUUGUAUUGACGAUAAUGAAAUGGUAUGAAUUGAAUAUUGGUUGAUGAUAUUUGGUUGCUAUUUGUGUCUCGAAAUGGAACUAUAUGAGCUUGUAUAGGUAUGUGCAAAUUGGGUGGCAAAAUGGCUUGGUAAAUAGCCUAUUUUUGUCCACACGGUCAGAGAUACGGGCGUGUAUCUCAGCCAUGUGUGACACACAGUAAUGUUACACGGCCGUGUGUCCCCUGGUGUUGAAUUUGAAACCAAGUCAGUAUGUUCCACACGGCCUCACACACGAGCGUGUGACUUGGCCGUGUGGCAUAACUCAGUAUACCUUACAAGAUUGGCACAACCUAGCACACAGCCUCGUAAACCAGCAUGUAUGGCCAUUUUUAGGGCACACAGGGUAGCCACGAGGGCAUGUGUGUUGGCCGUGUGACCUAAGUCAGAGAGUUACACGGGGUCGGACACGGGUUGGGACACGACUAUGUGCUUCCAUUUCAAAUGUCCACACGGCCUGUGACACGGACGUGUCUGGUGGCCAUGUGAGACACACGGCAUGGCCACACAAGCGUGUGUCCCUGUUUUAAGAAAAAAUUUCAAAGUUUCAUGAAAGUUUCUUGAGUUACCAAUUUAGUCCCAAACCACUCCUAAAGCAUGUUUUGGGCCUCGUAGGCUUGUAUAAAAGACAAAUUUAUUGAGAAUGAAUGAUGAUUGUAUGUAUUGAUUGAAUGUAUAGGACGGUAUAUUUAAAUGUAUUGUAAGUUCAGUAAUGCUCCGUAACCCUAUUCCGAUAUUGAAUACGGGUGAGGGGUGUUACAUACCCUAAGUAAAUAAGUAUAUUUAUAUGCACUUGUCUACCAUACACUUGUAACUCGAAGUUACCAAGCUUUACAUUUCAAUAUAAACAUGUUAUGUGUACAGAGCUGACAUCAACUCAUCCCUCUUUAAUGGAAUUUAUAAAGACAUUUAAUCAUACUUAUAAUAAUAACAUUUUAACAAAUUGUCGAUAUCAAACAUGUCCUUAUCAGACCUAUUUCCAAUUUUCCGCUUCUAAUAUCACCUAAAUCGUUCGUUUCAAUUAAUAUACAAUCAAUUUCAAGUUUAAUAUGAGUUUACAGAAGGUCAAUACUAUAAACUAGUUAGCUAUUGCAUCUCAUACAACAAUUUUGUGCAAUAUAAUUAAUUUAUCAAGGUUGCUAGCAUUUUAGCAUAACAGAUCAAGAUUGAACCAUUUUUCAAUUCAUGUCUCAUUAGCCAUAUUCAAAUACCAACCUAUUCAACAUGUAACUUACAAUUGUUGCAUUCCUAAUUUAAACUCAUACUAUCUAUGACACAUAUAUUCACCUUUCCAAAGGCAAGCAUAAAUAAUUUGCAUCCUAAAUCACUUGAUUUAUAUUUAAGUCAAUCAGUCUCAUAAUGUAACACCUUUCGCCUGGUCUGAUCGUUGGACCCGAACUAUAAGAUGUUACCAUAGUUUUUGGAGCAAGCCACAUAAUUUGAUAGCCAUUAUUUCAUUUCAUCAUCGAUUCAUGACAUAAUUCCAUGCAUAAAAUAAUGUAUACUCAAAACUGAGUCUUAGUGGAGCUUAUGAAAGCUCAAAAGUUGACUCCACUAUAGUCUCAAAGUUUUAACCAAAUCAGGAAAUUUUUCUUCCACCUUUUCAUAAAUAUCAGGUGAGAAAUUUAGUAACAUAUGCUUGUUAACAAACAAAAUUAUUGGUAGGAUGAAGUAUUUGAAAUCUUGUGUGUAAUAUCCACAAGUAUACUUGGUUCCAUGGAAGAAAAGAAGUGACAAAUUGGACUAUCAUCAUCAAAUCUGUGUGAGGAAUGAAUUGGUUAAGACACAUCACAGGAUACCAUAUCUCUUUAUUUGCUUUACACUCAUAUCUUAAUUUCUUUAUUGUUAACAACGCUUCAAUUUUUGAGUUUUUCACUAUCCAAAUUUUAUUAUUUGCAAUUACGAUAUCAUUAUUUGUGUAUGGCCAAGUUGGCUAAGGUCCCUCAAAUUUCUGAAAGAAUAAUUCUCUUGAAUCUUUUUGAAAAACCAUAAAUUUACUGAGUUUUGGGUUAUCAAAAUCACCAUUUUACAUAUAAGUUUAUCAAGAUUUAAUUAUAUGGGUUUAAAUAUAAUUACAUGUGUUUGAGGAUCAAAUUGAUAGAAGUUAUAAAUGUGGAGGGUUAAUUUUAUUGAAAUAUUUAAAUAUAAAGGACUAAAUGUAUUAUUAUGUCAGUUAGAAAAAUGUUACGUUAUUACUUCCAUUAAGCAUUUAACGAAGAGUGACCAAAAUAAAAAUGGUUUAAAACGUUAAUGACUAAAUUGAUAUGAAAGACCAAUCCAAAUACUUUUCAAAGUUUGAGAACUGGUAUUGAUACUUAUCAUAGGUACCGAUACCAUUUUCAAUUUUGAUGUUUCAAGAAUUUAGAUAAAAUACUCAAGUAUUGAUACUUUGCUUAAGGUACCGAUACCUCUGUUAGAAAGUAUCGAAACCUAAUUUAGUAGCAGUACCAUUUUGGCAUUAUGUUGUUUUGCAAAACUUAUCAAAAUCACUAGUAUCGAUACUUGAAACUUGGUAUUGAUACUUCUUUUACAAGUAUAGAUACUUAGUCUAGUACUGAUAUCAUUUUUAGGUUCGAUAUUUGAAAAAUUAAUAAAAAUUGGUAAGGCACCGAUACCUUUACCCAGAGUAUCGAUACUUUUCGCUAAAAUGUCAAAACUCUCUCAUUUUAGUUCAUUUUACAUGCUCAAACAAACCCAAAUUCAAAUGGUGCUUAUAGGCACACUUCAACCCUGCAUAAACCAACCCAAAACAUGCCUAAUCACCUCAAUUCAACAUUCCUUCAAUCAACCAAACCUACAUACAUUAAUAAUGCUUCUACACAUACUAUUUAAACAUGUAAAUUCUCAACCCAUUCACACUUGCAUAACCAUACAAUUUCAACAUUUAAACCAUGCUAAUUGACUUUUAAAAUGACAUUCAUGUCACACAUGUAUAACCUAACAUGUUACCAAAUUUUCACACACUUGUAUAUACCUAUUAACAACUAAGGAUCAAGUAUUAUCCAAAGCUCAAAUCAAGCUAACAUCCAAAAUAAUCCACAUACAUUAACAUAACAUACACAAACUAAUCAACUUCCAAAUUUGAGUCUUCAAACAUAACAAAAUAUAAAGGACUCUCUUAGGUACAUACUUUAUUAUAUACUAUCACAAUUCAUAUUCAGUUUCAUGUAUCGAUUAAAUCAUACAACUUUCUAAUCUUUUCAAUUUAGUCCUUGACUCGAUAUUCACUUCCACAUGUAGCAUUUUCAACUCAAUAUCUAUUAAUAACUUACCUUAAUGUUAUAUAAUGCAAUAUAUUAUGAAUAUGCUUUAUUAAAAUUAGUUUCGAAUUAUAGAAAUACAAAUCGAAAGCUCACGUCACUCUUCGUCGACUUUCACAUUCCUUUUCCCUUUUGAUGAUCCUACUUUGUUUUUAGCUAAGAAUAAUAAUUCAAUAAUUGUAUAAUAUCCAAAUCAUAUUCAAUUUCAAGAUCAUACAUAUUUUGCAAAUUAUUUGAUUUAAUCUUCUAUCUCGAUAAUCAAUCAAAUUCAUUCCAAUACUAUUCGAUCAAUCAUAAUCAAAUAUCAAUUCAUUAAAUAUCUCAAAUUGCAAUUUAUCAUAUUCAAUUUAUUAGUCAAUUUAUCAUUUCUUUAUGAUUUAGUCCAUAUCACACCUUUUUGUAUCAAAUUGUAAACAAUUCAAAUUAUAACCACAAAAAAAAUUUCAUAAUUCAAUAAUAUAUUGCAAAUACAUAUAACCAUACCAUAUGAACUUACUUGGCUAAAUCAUUAAACAAGUUGAAACUUUAAAGACUAUUCAACAAUUUUGUCAUUUUUCACGAUUAUUUUCGAUUUGGUCCAAUUUUUUAUCCAUACAAUAAUUUCAUUUAAUUUAUCAAUUCUACAAAUCUUAUGUCAUCCUAUUUUACGCAUGUAUUAGUUCAAUUUCAUCAUUCAAAUGCACCCUAAAGUUUUUCUUUUUAUUCAAUGUAGUCCCUAAAAUUAAAAUGGCCAUAACUUUCAAAUUUGAGUCUUGGUUUCAAAACUAAUCCCAAUUUCACCCCUUUACAAUCCUCUAGAACCUAUAAUUAAAGAAAUUUCAUACUAAUUUUUUAAAUAUUUACACCUUAGUCCCUAUGUUCAAAACUAAUAAUUUUCACUUUACAAAAUAGUCCUUUUUCAUAUCUAAGCUUCUAAUCUAACCAUUUAACACCAAAAACUUCAAGCAUUCAUCAAUGGAAACAUUUUAAAAAGCAAUAUCUGAUUUAGCUAAAAUGAGCUACCAUAAUCUCAAAAACAUAAAAAUUACAAGAAAAUGACUAGAUUAAGCUUACCAUGCAAUAGUCGAAUGUUAAAGACUCAAAAAUGGCUUCUCCCUUAUGUUUAUUUUGGUAUUUCGGUUGGAAGAAGAAAGAUGAAACAAAACAAUGGUUUUUGUUUCUUUAAUUUAUUAUUGCAUAUAUUAUAAUACUAUAUUUUAUAAAUUCUAACAUUAUUUUAUUAAUAUUACUACCCAACCGUCCAGUUCAACUAUGCAAUGGUCUAAUUGUCACUUUAGGCCUUUUGACUUAAUUGCUAUUUUAACCCUUUAGCAAUUUAAAAUCUAUAACGAUUAACUUAUAUCACUUUACAAUUUAGUCCUUGAAGCUUAAUUAACUAUCUAAUUAACAAGAUUAAUGAGCUAAACUUUAAUUAAACUUUAUACUAAUCUCGUAAAUAUUAAUAAUUAUCAAAAAUAGGGUUCCGACACCACAUUUUUCAAUAUCACUAACUUUAGGAUUAUUACACUUGUACCUUAAUUAACUAUUAAUUAAAAAAUUUACUAGACCAAAUUUUCAAUAUAUUUCAAUACUAGCCUUGUAAUUAUUAAAUAUUAAUAUUUAUGAACAGAAUUUAUAAAAAUACCAUUUCAAAGCUGUAAUUUCUGACACCACUAAAAACUGAAUCGUUACAAAAAUAACCUUUGAAAUCCAAAGGAAAAAUAUCAUUCCAAAAACUUAUAUUAUCCUAUAGAAUGUAUUUUACUUAAAUUUAACUUCUCUAAAUAAAUGCAAAUAGUAAAGCAAUGUAAAAAAAAUCAAAUAAAUGAAGUGUCAAUACUUUUAAUUUAACAAUGAAAAUAUGUUCUUAAUAUAGGUUCAAAUGUUAUGAUAGUCUCUGUACUUCUAUAGAAUAUGAGAUUUAAUUCAUGUGCUUUAAAAGAUAAAAAUCCUAUUCUAAUCAAUAUUAUCGUUGACAGUCUACGUCAAAAUUUGUAAAAUUAAUAUGUUUAUUUUUUUUUAUCAAUCAUAUGUUUUAUAUCACAUGAGGACAUCUUAACCAACAUGCCAAGUGAAUAAAUUUAGAUGAAAAGUACUUAUGAUUUGAAUGAUUGGAUUUGAGAUUUUUAAAUAAAUAAGUUAGAGGACUUAAUUUUUAAAAUUUAAAUAUAAGGACUAAAUCUCAAAUUUUGUCAAAGUAUAGAGAUUAACACAAUAUUUUAACCUUUAAUUCAUUAGCAAUUAAGAAAGAAACAAAAAAAUAAAAAAUAAAAAGAGGGAAAGUGUACUUCAUUCAAAAUGUAUAUCAUCAUUCUCUCAUGUCAUUUGUGAAAUUAAAAAUUGUCGUAACUAUCACUCAAGUUUGAUUAUUUCAAUCAUUUGCUUUAAAAAAAUGGUGCUUGUAAUAAUAAGCUUUGACAGUGAUGAACCAUGUUUAGGUUGACUCUCAUUCUAUUAUAAAUUAUGUGUCAACUUGUUACUUGAAAGGUUAAAUUCUAAGGAUAGUCCUUCUAUUUAUUACUUUAGUUCUUCUAUUUUUAUUUCUUCAAAAGUGGUUAGCUAGUUUGUAGUUUGCUGAAAUACAUUAUGAUAAUUUAGAUUGAAAACAGGGGUUGGUCACAACAUCAGUCACUAACAUUUACAUUCAUUGAUGCUAAUUUUUUUUUAUGUUUUUUUUUAUUAUAAAUAUACUUUGUACUUAUUGUAGGUUAAAAUCUCUAACAGUAAUCAUUAAUAAUAGUAAAUUUUUGUUUUUUCUAUCUUUAAUUUAUUAACACAUUUAGAAAUAUAAUUUUUUAUAAUUAAAGCAAAAAAAUUGUAGGGCCAAAUUGAUAAAAAAAAAUUAUAAAAGGUGAGGGGCUAAUUUUGUGAUAGUGCUUAAUUUUUUAACAGUGUAAACGAAAAAUAAUAAUAAAAUGACUGAAAAUGAACAAAUCAAAAAGUAAAGAGGUUAAUUUUGAGCAAAUAAAAGUAGAAAAAUUAAAUUUGAACAAAUCGAUAAGUAUAGGGACCAUUGGUAGGAAUUUCAUCUCUUUAAAAUUAUUUUAAUUUUUAGUGAUUGAUUCCUAUUAAAAUUAUUGAUAAAGUGAUUGAUUUUAAAUAAAAUUGUUGAUAUAAUUAAUUAUAAUUAAAGAAAUAAAUAAAAUACUUAACUUAUACUUCACAGGCCUUCCUUGUGCCUAUCAAAAUCUGUUGGUUUUUUAAUUUUACAAUAGUAGUCAAAUUACAGUUUUAGUCCUUAUACUAUGCUGACUAGAUUUUAACAUAAUUUUAUACCUCAAUUUUUAUAAUAUCAUUAAUUAAUUUAAAUAUUUUAUUAUAUUUAAUAUAUUUAUAUAAACUUUUUAAAAUUAUUAACACCAUCAAAAUUCUCUUUUAAAUUCAUAUCUAUUAUAAUAAUAUUUUUUUGUUAUAUCUUGUCAAUUGAGUUUUUUUUUAAAUUUAAAAAACAUUACAUUAACGUAUUUUAUAGAAGAAUUCUAACACGAUAAAAAUUAAAUCUAAAUCUUUUAAUUUAAAAAGUAAAAAAGAAAUUAAAUUAUUAAAUAAAAGUAGGAGGACUAAAUCAAAAUAUAUAAAAAUUAUAAGAAGUUAGAACACAUUUUAACAUUUAAUUGAUUUCCCAAAGUGAAGCGUGUGGGAAUUCCUUGAAAAGAAAAGCAAAAACUUAUGUUCUAAUUUAACGUUAAAAAAAAUAGAACAUCAAAGUCAAGACUAUUAAGUGAAGGAAAAGUAGAAGCUUCCACUUGUUAGAUUCGAGGAUCGUGCUUUGCUCAUUGCUGGGGCCUUACAAGAUUUCAUUUCAGUUCAGCCAUUUGUUUGACUGUGUUUCUUUCUUUCAGUUUUCUUUCUUUCUUUCUUUUUUCCUUUAAAUUUUCACAAUUAAAUAAAUAUCUGCACUUGUCAGUAGAACAGAGCAAACACUGGAAAAACAGCUGUUUCACUUCCAUUUCAUUGAUUUCCACGAGGCAAAGGAAAAUAUAUAUAUAUAUAUAUAUAAGAAAACUAACCAGAGAUCAGCUUAAGGCUUCAGCUUCCAUUUCUCCUUUUCUGGGUUUGCUUCAUCUUCAGCUUCAGCUUCAGCUUCUGCAAAAUAUAUUUAAUGGCUGAGUAUAUCUGUUUAUUUAGCAAGGUACCCUUUCAUUUACACUUUAUUUUCUUUCUUCUUCUUCUUUUUUUUUUUAAUCUUUGUUUUAUAAAAGGAAAUGGGGUUCUGACUUUUGUUCAAUGGCUCUGGAAUGUGUCGGUUAGUGCUAAAGCUCUAAACUUUUUGAAGAAAAUGUUUAAUUUUUCGUGCUAUUUAUUCAAACUAUUUUGUUUUCUUAAAUUAAAAUUUCAGCUUUAUAAUUUCUGGGUUUGAAGGAUAAUGCUUUAUUUCACCUCUUUGAUCUGUUUCUAGUGGUUCUCCAUUGUUUUAACUUUCUUCUCCUUUUCCAGGAUACACUCAUUAUAAAGCCUCCUAAGAAGUCUUCAUUGUUUCAAAGAACAAUAGCUUUAUGGUUUGCAAUGUUGUGUGGUUUUUAUCUCUAUGGAACUUGCUUAAAACAUGUCGGUACUUUCACUAUGCUCAAAUUUCAGAACAUCCAACUCAUUCAGAAGCCAUCUUUAGAAGCUCAAAUUCCUACAUUGCAUUAUCCAAAGCCUGAAAAUUUCAGUAGGUAAACAAGAAGGGUUUAAUUCUAUGGUUUUGUUUUUAUUUUGGAUUUAAUCAAAUUUGCCUUAAAGUUUUGGUGCUGAUGCUUUGGCAGGGGUGAAUGCGCUUUGAAUCCGGUACGGUUUUUCGCUAUAAUAUCGAUGCAAAGAUCUGGAAGUGGAUGGUUUGAGACUUUACUAAAUAGCCAUAUCAAUGUAAGCUCAAAUGGUGAGAUCUUUUCUGUAAUUGAUAGGAGGAACAAUGUAUCGAAUAUUUUACAGACUUUGGAGAGAGUUUACAAUUUAGAUUGGUUCACUAGUGCUUCCAAGAAUGAGUGCUCGGCCGCAGUUGGCUUAAAGUGGAUGCUGAAUCAGGUAAACAAUGUAGUCGGAUUUUCAGUUAUAAUAACGAAAUUUGCUGAUAAGAUUGUAGAUGAAACUUGGAACAAUGGCAGUAAUCAUGUGGUUUGGGCUUUAACUCUUUCUGUUCAUUUUAGCUGUUGAUGCUUGAUGCCAGCACCCCCCUAAAAAUGGAAAAUUAUUAUUUAGGCCCUUUAAAUUUUUUUAAAAUUUUAAAUUAGUAAAGGUAAAAUUGCACUUUGGCCCCUUAAAAUUAUAAAAAUUCGAUUUAAUCUUUUAAAAAUUAUAAAUAUAUAGACUAUAAAAAAUUAAAAUUUCAUUCGGGCUCCCUAAAAAAUUGUUCUAGUUUAGCCCCUGUUGAUGCCUAUUGGUCUAUUGAUCUUCAACCCAUGCAUUUUAGUUCUUUGGAAUUUGAUUCAGGCAGAUGAUGGUUCAUAGUUUUCAUUCAUUGUUUUAUUUAUAGCUUUCAAUGGGUGAUUUUAUGAAGUUAAAGUGAGAAAAGUGCUGCGUUUACUGUUCAUCAUGUAUGUUUUAUCUCUCUGGUUUAGCAAACAAAACCACAUUUGUUUCUAGAAGCAACCAUGUAAAGAACUCCGAAAGUGAGAUGGUUCCAAUCCAAUGUGAUGGAUGGAAAUUAUUUGGUCUUAUGAGCGGCUUGAUUGAUGCAUUUUUUUCUGCAGGGAUUGAUGGAGCACCAUCGAGAAAUAGUAGAAUACUUUAAUGAUCGGGGUAUUUCUGCCAUAUUUCUCUUCCGAAGAAAUUUGCUUCGAAGGAUGGUUUCUAUACUUGCGAAUUCAUAUGAUCGCAAAGCUAAGCUAUUAAAUGGAACCCACAAGUCUCAUGUUCAUUCGGAGCAAGAGGUCUCUCUUCCUUCCCUGCUAUUUAUGCUCUAUAUUGCAGACUCGUUUGGCUCGCCAUUUUCUUUUUCCACUUUUUCUUCUCGACAUUUGAACUUAUUGCUGGUCGGUGGUCACUUAAUGCAGGCUGCUGCGCUUUCGAGUUACAAGCCAAUUAUCAAUUCUACAUCACUAAUAAGUGAUCUGAAAGAAGUAGAGAUGAUCACUGCUAGGGCUUUAGAGAACUUCAAUAGCACCCGUCACAUGGUUUUGUACUAUGAGGAUCUUGUCACCAACCAAACGGUAAGGCCGGUGACUAAUUUUCACGAGUAUUUAUAGUAUUUCUCAACAGCAAAAUAAGCAUCUUCUCUUCUAAAUGAUUUGCACCCUUUACACGAUGCCAUUUUUUAAAUUUAUCUUUCUAGAUUUUUUUGGAGUGAUUUAAAACUCGAGAAGGUUUAAACAUAAUCAUUAAACUUUCAUGGAUUUGAACAAUGUGUAAUAGUUUUCAUUUGAAACUUAGCUCUAUAUUUCAUGGAGGCAUUCUUCUCUAACUGGUGGCUCUGCCUCAUGUCAUUGGUUCCCGUGUUUGUGCCAGAAACUAAAAGAUGUUCAAGAGUUUCUAGGCCUUCCACUGAUGGAAUUAACUAGUCGCCAGGUUAAAAUACACAAAGGUUCGUUAUGCGAUUUUGUGAGCAACUGGGAUGAUGUUAACAAGACACUAAACGGGACCGAAUACGAGAGGUUCCUCCAUGCCGACUAUGAAGAAUGUCACUAACAAAAAGAAUGGCGUGGUCGUCAGGUUUGGCUUAAUUUAUUACUGAAACUGACCAUAAUUCGCCCAGUUUGCAAUUUUGGCUGUCAUGAAGGCCGGCAACAAUCAGGUAAUCACUAUCGUGAAGCCCUCGACCAUUUCAUUUCUCUUGAUUUGUAUCUUAUAGAUCAUAGAUAGACAGUUUGUACAUUUGAGCUAAUGAAAAUUCGGAUGAACCAAUUCCUCAUCCUCAGUGGCUUUAUCCCUUUAUGUCCAUCAGGCCUUUUUUCCCCCACAAUAUGUGUAUUCAUGUCAUAAUUGUGUUACAUAUUUAUACAAGUUUUGAGGUUUUAUAAUCAUAUCGUGUUCAAGAUGCCCAAAUAAUUAUAAUCCUUGGUUCUUUAAGACAACGUUUUCAAGAAGCAUUGCUUCUUUUUUAAAAUGAAUGAAUCAUUAAAGAGGAAUGAAUAAUUCUCCGUAUAAAUGUGGACAAUGUUCUUGGUUGGACUUGUGCAUUAAAUUUUACUGAUAUUCAAAUCAAUCACAAGAAUCAGGCCAGAUUCCAAGUUGGGUCCACUCGUGGAAAGGUCUAUCCCAAGCCAGAAAUCUGAGGCUCAUUAAAGACUGAAACCCUUCUUUUUAAAUUCAGCCACAGAUAAGUUCCAAAUCAUAGGGGCCGCAGUGAAGUUGAAUUUUUAUAAUCCUAUUGAAAGCUGUAUUUAAAGUUGCGUUUGCCUUCAUUAGAGAAUUCAAUUCAAAGGAGUAACAUAUCUCUAACAAAGCACAAUAGUGAUGGGAUUGGAAUGUAAUGGAAUUGACCAAUGUCAUCAUCUUCCGAUGGGUCAACUUUCAACAAAAUAGUUGGGGGGGGGGGGGUUCAACUAAAUAUGAAUGCAAAGAGGAGUUUUUAGUAGAGUCACAAUAAAUAUAAGAAAGGACAAAAUGGAGAUGAUGCUUGGCUUUUAUACCUAGCUUGAAGGCUGCCUCAGGGGCUGUCUUUAGAUAGUUGGUGAAAGGGGAUUAGCUGAUACCUUUGUCCUUAGCCAACAAGACUGGCAAGGGCAAGGGCAAGGGCAAGGGCAAGGGCAAAUUUGCCGGCCUUGCAGUCAGUACCGUUUGGCACAUAUGUUGUGAGUUGAAAUAGAGCUAAAAGCUACUUUACCUUGGGAUGACUUGUUAAAAAUAUACAUUUGUUAGUGUUUGGGCUUCAUGGACCACAUAUUCUUUGGGCCUUUAGUUUUAUGUGGGUUGGUAUAACAAAAUUCCCCUAGGUCAUAAAGUAGCCUAGUAAAUACCUAUUUUGGAGGGCAUUGACUUGAGCUAUCAGGUUCCCUAUAAAAAGAAGUCAGCUUUGAGGGGCGUCGGAACUUGAACUCUAAAGUAAAGGUAAGGAGGAGCUUUUAGUUGAUUAACAAUAAAAAUAUCAAGAUGGAUAUGAUACCUAGGUUGAAGGUUGCCUUAGGGGUUGUCCUUAACCUGUAAGAGAAAAGGGAUUGGUUGAUCUCUUUGUAAUAAGGGUUAAUAAGGGUGUAUAAGGGCUAAUUUCUUUGGCAUUGUCGUUGGUGUUUCUCAGUACUGGUCUGUCACAUAUGUUGGAGCUUGAAAGGGAGCUAAAAUCUACCUUGUCUAGGGCCAACUUGUUACUAGUGGACUUUCGUUAGUGUUUUAGGCUUCAUGAGUCACGUAUUCGUUAGGCCUUUAGUCUUAUUUAUGUGGGCUAGUACAAGAAAGGAGAAAGAUAUAAAUACUUCACCCAUCACUCAAGCUAUUUUGAUAGGUUUUUGUAUUAUAGCUUAAAAGUCAACUUUAAGAAAGUGAGAAAUUCAACCUUUGGGCAUUCUACUUUGAAGCAAAAAAAAACUAAUAGCAUUUUUAAAACACUACAGGGACAAAUUUGUUUGAAAAGUUCCCAUUUUUUCACAUCACUUGACAAACUGACUUUUUUUAAUGUUGAAUCUUUCAAUGGUUUAGAAUAUUUAAAACACAACAAUGACUAUAUUUGUUUUCCCAUCACUAUAAAACACAAGUCGGCAUCUCUUAACGUUGAAUCUUACUACCAUUUACAAUUUUACUUGGUAUUUUUGAAGCCUAAUAACGCUAGAGUCAACUAGCAUAUGUUUUAGGAUGGGGCAACUUGGAUACCUUAGAGGAACCCCAGUCUAAAAAAAUGAGUGGUGAACGAAUAUAUUCUUAGCUGGGGUGGUGGGGCACACCAAAUAUUGACUACUGCUUCGUGGGAUUCAUCACCCGCCAUUGAAAUGGAACAUAAAGCUAAGGUUGGGAGAUGAAGUAUCUUAUUCAUAUACAUCUUAUUAUAACUUCAUUAUUCUACAUUUUUCAGCCUACAAUCAUAAAAGAGAAUUAAGAUUCAAUAAAAGCUUAGCUAUUUUAUUUGUUCAUCGUAUAUUCAGCUCUCAUGACUUCCUUCAAAUUUAAACUAAAGCUAGUUAAUAUUAUUUAGUUAUCGGAUUUAUCAACGUUUUAAAGUUUACAGAGAUAUAAUUAUAGCAAGGCAAAAACUGUAGCAAAAAGAAGUAAUAGGAUAGGAGGUUGGAAAAGGCAUUGUGUUGUGUGGAAAAAUACUGAAGACGGAAAGUUCAAGUGGCUCUCAUUUCCUUUGCCUUAUUUGGAAAGCUUUAAAGAUACGGUGAAGAAGAAAAGGACAGCUUCGAAAUUGACAAGCUCAGUCAGGACUCUUUUACUUUGUUCUCAACACUAUAAUUAAGCUUCUCGGAGGAGAUAAAGCUACCCAUCUAAAUGUGAUUUAUAAUUAGGUCUAAAUGGAUACUACAAAUAUUUUUUACAUAUAAUUUUAGAUAUUAAAAAAAAGAAAAGAAAAAAAGAUUCAUGUUUUGUGAUAGACAGGUUUCCGACUUAGGGUCCUAACCCGAAUAGAAGUUGACCAAGAGAUGGAACUAGAAUAGGAUCUAACCAUUACUCCAGAGAGAGAUUGGAGUUGGCAGAGUGGAGAGAAAACAGAUACUUGGCAUUGGGUGCCCAAAGUGGUGGAUAAAAAAGCUCAGUAGGACCCUCGUCUGAAGCAGCAUUAUUAUUACUUAUAUAAUUUUCCCUUUGGAAAUGGAAAUAUAUUCUCAAUUCUAAAAGGAUGAGGCAAAGCAAAAAACCAACUCAUGAUGCUAUAUAUAUAAAUGCUAAUUCUUGAGGAAGAGCAGUGCAGUGGGCAAGAAUUUACCGGCCAGGAAUCAGGAGCACAUGCGCACUGUCUUACCGGUUAUAUCAUCUAAACAUUUUGCUUACUAAUGUAAAAUCAUAUAGUUAUUUUUGCUGCAAUGUUUAUCCAGAUCUUUAAAUUUCUAUAUAUCGCAGAUUUUUAUUUUUCUAGAACAGAUAUAAUAAAUAAAUGUCAGCGGGAUUAUAAAUUGUAAAAAUCAAAGUAUAUGGUGUAUCCUAGUGUGAAGGCCAGGAGACAUGCAGCAACAAUUUCUACUAAAGGUGAACAAAAUUUAAUUUGAUUUAAAAAUUUUAAUAAAAAUUUAAAUUUUAAAUUAAAUAAUUUGAGUUAUUUGGAUCAACUCGAAUAAAAAAUUUAAAUUUUUGGUUUAACUAAAACACAAAUCACAGAAUUCGAGUUAUUCAAAAAUCUAAAUACGAAAAGGCAAAAUUACGUCGUUUUGAUAAAUGUUUACUUUUUCUAAAAUUAAAAUUCAAAACAAUUAAGUUAAAAGGAAAAACUAUGUCGUUUUGAUAAAUGUUUACCUAUUAAGUUACAAUUAUAUUGUUUAUUUAGUUAAAUAAUUUUAUACUUUGUCUACUAGUUAAAAAAUCGGUUCAUGUAAACAUAACAUUGAGUAUAAAUAAUAUAAUUCGUUAACUCAACUCAAAAAUUUUUGGCUUGAUUAGAUUCCAUUUCAUUUGAAAAAAAAAUCAAAUUGAGUUCGGUUGUUAAAAUAGGAUUCGUCAACUUGACUAACUCGAAAUUUUUUGACUCGAUUCGAUUAAUCAAAUUCUCACUCCUAAGCCCAACCCCCUACGAAAACAUUUAUUACCAUUUCAGAGUUUUUAAUGUAAAAGUACUAGAGAAGCCCCUAUACGUAGCGGGGUAUUGCAUUUCAAAACGGGAAAAUUAGUCCCUCCGUUUAAUUUUGUCUCUUUAAUGAUGACUUGAGAUGUUGCCUUAAAUGGUUAAUUACUAAUUUAGUCCCUAAACUAUAGUUAAAAUAUCAUUUUAAUUUUUUUUUAAAAUUCUUAAUAGUAAUUCUAAAAUAUUAAAAAUAAAUAUAAAUUAUUAAAAAUAUUAAAAAUUAUAUUAAAUCAAAAUCAAAUGGUAACAAGUGCCACUAAUCCACAUUUAAUAGAAAAUUUAAAGGAAUGGUUAACCAUAGGACUUGAUUGGCGCAAUACUAAUAGUUUAGAGACUCAAUUAGAAUAUUUUAAAAAUUAGGAAUUAAUUUAGAAUUUAAUUAUAAUUUAGGGAUGUAUGAUACAAUUAAUUCAAAAAAAUUGAAAAAAUAAUAUUAUAAUUUUCUUUUUGAAUAUCCAGGAUUACUUAUUUAGAUGAUAAAGUAGGCUAUUUAAAUUUGUUAUUUGUAUCUACUUUACUUUUUGCAGUUAAUAAAAUCGAAUGUCUCAAUUCACAUCCUAUAUUUGGUUGUAAAAUGAUAGCUAAAUAUUAACACCACGUAUAAUGCUUAUUACUAAUUUUUAACGCAUCAAUUUAUUUGGUUAGAUAGUUAAACUUUAGUAGUUUUAAAUUUGAAUUUCGGAUUUGAUUUCUCUCUUACUUAUAUUUGUACUUUUAUUUCAUUUAUUUAAAGCUUUACUUUUAUUUUUAACUACUAUUUUAACAUUUUAACUCUUCUGAUUAAAUGGUUAAUUACUAAUAAUUUUAUCCUUGAGUCCCAAGUUCGAUUCCUCUUCUAACCAUAUUUGUAUUUUUCAUUUUAUGUUUUAAGCUUCUUUUUAUUUUUAAUUAAUAUUUUUAAUUAAUAAAUAUAUUGUUUUCAAGUUCUUUUAUUUUUAAUUCAUUUUUUAAUUAACGACAGUUUUAUUUAUAAAAUCAAAUAAUUAUUGCCAAUUAUAUAAUAAAAUAUAUUUUUGACAAAUUUGAUAUUUAUCACUAUGUUAAAUAUAUAUUUUUUAAAAAAACAUCAAUUAAUUUUUUUAUAUAUUUUUCUUUAUAUAUAAUAUUUAUAUUAAAAUAUUUAUUUUCUCCACCUAUAUUGUGAGUAUGGUGGUUUCUAUUAUUACAAAAUCAAAUAAUUAUUUCAAAUAUCAUUAUUAUUUUUAUAUGUAAAAUAUUUAAAACAAUUAUUUCAAAUACACAUACAAAAAUAUAUAAUACUAAAAUUUACUACACUAAUGAUAUGAAUUGAAAAAUAAAAAUUACACAUUAAAAUUAUAUUUACUAAAAAUAAUGAUAUUUGACAAUAAUUAUUUGAUUUUAUAAAUAAAAGAGUUAUUAAUUAAAAAUAAAAAUAAAAAACUUGAAAACUAUAUAUUUAUUAAUUAAAAAAACUUGAAACAACAUGAAAAAAUAUAUAUAUAAAUGUGCUUGGAAGAGAAAUUGGAUCUAGAACUCAAGGAUAAAACCAUUAUUAUUUAACCAUCUAACUAAAAGAGUUAAUAUGUUAAAAAUAGCAAUUAAAAAUAAUAUUAAAGCUUGAAACAAAAUGAAAUAAAAAUACGAAUGUGAAUAGAAGAGAAGUCGAAACCCGAGACUUAAAACAAAACCACUAAUAUUUAACCAUCGAACCAAAGAGCUAAUGUGGUUAGUAGGACGCAUCUUUAAAAUUAAUUUAUUUUCUUAAAUAUUUCAAAAAUCAUCAACCCAAAACCCCAAAUAUUUUUUAGAAUCCACAUUUUUUUUAAUUUAGCCUCAAUAAUCUAAAAAAAACUUACCUAAAAAUUAGAUUUAAUUUUUAAAAUCUAAUAAAAUAAAAGAUAAAAAAAUUUUGAAAGAUAAAAUAACUUUAAAUUAUUAGAGUUUUCACAAAAUGUUAAAAUUUGUAAAAUAAAUUUGACUUACUAAAGAUAUUUACUAGAUUCUAAUAUUUAAUGGAUAAUAUCAUUUAAUUUGGAUUCAAAUACUAAUACUUAGAUUAAAUUGAGUAGAAAAAAAAAUCAAAUUUUAAAAUGGUUAUGCUUUCUCAAAUUUAAAUAAAUGAUUAGAAGAAGUGAAAGUGAACUUCUUUCCCAGGCAUUUGAACUAAAUUCGAAUUUUGAAAUCAUUAUUGUGUCGGGAGGGCUUUACCUGAAUAUCAUCCAAGCCUAAACAAGAUUAUACUCAUACGGUAACCAUUAAAAGGAUGAGGAUACGUGAUGACCUGAUAGUCAAAGGAAUUCAUUGUCUUAAGUGUAGCUUGUGUUUGAGUCACAUUGGUCGUUUGGGUUUUGCCCUAUUAUUGUUAUUCACCAAAAAAAGAAAAAUCAACAACUUAAUUUAGUGACAACAAAAUUAUGUUGAUGAGGUAUGAGAACUUGAAUUCAAUCCCAAACAAUUUCAUUCCCAUCCUUAUUAUAAAAAAAAAAAAGUCUAACCUUCAUACCAACUCCUAAAAUUAAACACACUUGUCAGAACUAGGUAAAAAGGGAAAAAGCUAAAAGGUUCCAAUUGAACAUGGAAAUUUACCUAUGAAAAGGAAUAUACAUACUAUAUAUAGCCAUUUGCUCUUAGGCCCUGUCAGUCUGUUACUACUAAGAUCAGGCAAAGUUUUAACUUGGCUAACCAAAAACUCUUCACCGCAAUGGCCAUUGAUGUUAAUAGAACAAAAGGAACAUGGUCGAAAAAGCUUGGAAAAAUGACAUUUUACCAAUCAACCGAACUUUUCAGACAGACUUGUCAAUUUACCACUGGAAAAUCAGAGAUUCAUCAUUCCAUAUCUAUGAUGAUUGAUUGGGCAACGCAUGCAAGGAAAUAAAAAACUGUGUGGGGUUAUAUAGAAAGGAGUCAAGACUCUAUUGUCAGAGAGGUUUAAGGCAAUUUGCCUCUAGAUAAGGAGGCAAUGACUUAGACAACUGAAAGUGUUGCUUUUAAACCUUAGUCCCCAUGAUUUGCCAUCUCAUUAAUUCUACUUUUGAACCAACUUCUCUUUGGAAAACUCAAGGUUUACUAAAGAUGCGCAGAAUUACAAGCUCCAACACCGCCAAAGGCGUUGCUGCCAUUGUGGGCGUCGGCCCUCAACUUGGACUAUCUAUUGCCCGAAAGUUUGCUCAUGAAGGAUACACAGUCGCCAUCCUCGCCCGGGACUUAGGUACCCUCUUUCUCUCUCUUUCUUUCUCUCUUUUUUCUCUUUUUACACAAUUAAUCAAUACCGGAUUAUGUGUGUGUGUAUGUGUUGUUCAGGAAGGUUGUCAAGAUUUGCAGAUGAGAUAGCGAGGGAAGAGCAAGCGCAAGUGUUUGCAAUCAGAAUAGACUGCUCGGAUUAUAGAAGCGUUAGGGAAGCGUUUGAAGGGGUUCUUUCCUUAGGAUUUGUCGAAGUUUUGGUGUACAAUGUAUAUUACCAGCCGGUUUCUUCGCAUCCCACUACCUUCACCGACAUUAAAAUUGAUUCCUUUGAGAAAUCUCUUGCUGUUUCCUCCCUUGGUGCUUUCCUUUGCGCUCAACAGGUAACCCCACCCCUUUCUUUCCAUCCAACCAUAUAAAUAACCAAUCACCUUCUAAAAUUUUUAUAAUGUUGGACCGAAUCAAUGGAAGGUGCUUCCUGGGAUGGUGGAAAGGAGAAGAGGAACCGUUCUUUUUACUGGUCGCUCAGCUUCACUUAAUGGCAUCCCUGGUUUCUCUGAACUAUGUAAUGUUCACCCUUUAAAACAUAUUACAAACUUACCAAAACUUAAAAUGGAAAAUGAGAGUAUAUGACAGUUUAUUGUAAAUCAAUGAAACAGGCUGUGGAAAGUUCGCCCUGAGAGCUUUAUCCCAAUGCCUGUCAAGAGAGUUCCAGUCUGUUGGUGUCCAUGUUGCCCAUAUUAUCAUUGAUGGAGUCAUUGGUCCUCCCAGGUAAAUUCAUUGUUACUCCUUAAAAUAUAGUGUUUGAUAACUUCCAUUUUCCUAUUUAGCUGCCAAUUUGAAAAUUUAAACGAUUUAUGAAUGUGAAUAAUGUUAUACUUUUUAAAUAUCUAUUAUAUUAAAACUCAAUUAAUUUAUUUAUAAUAUAUGCAUUUCAUUUUUACAAUUUAGAUACUAAAUGAAAUUUAAAUCUACAUUUUCAAAUUCAUAUUUUCUAGACUUGAACAUAAAAUGUUUGCGUGACAAUGAGAUACGAUCUUUGAAACUUAUAUUUCAUAUUAAUAGGAGAAAUCAUAUAUGUUUUAAAAUGUUGAAAUGAUAAGUAGUGUGCAGUAAAUAUAAGAGGUGACGAUGGAAUUGCUGGAAAGAAAAUGAAUGAAUGAUGAACAAUAAAGUUGAAAUGGAAAUGCAGGGGGGCUCACCAAGGGUUGGCUGGGGAGCUAUGGCAAAGCGGAGUCGGAGGGGACCAAACCUUGAUGACAAUGGACCCUGAUGCGAUAGCUCAGACCUACUGGCACCUGCAUGUUCAAGACCGGAGCGGUUGGACCCAGGAGAUUGACCUCCGUUCCUCCGUAACCUGAUACUCUUACACCCAUUGAUCAUAUAUAUGAUAUAUAUGUAUCUUCUCAUAUUUGCAGCCUCUAAUCAUUUAAAACUCCUCCGUCUCAUUAUAAUCAUCUUCAAUAGCUUUCAUUUCUUUAUACACUAAAUAUGGUUUAAAGAUUUGCUAUGUAUAUUUACUCUCUUUUGUUUUUAAUUUUAUUUUGAGUUUGAGAAAAGUACAAAAUAUGUGAUGAAUUAUAAGUUUGAGUGUGUGAAUAGAGCUUGGUUAUUAAUUUUUUUUUGGGAAAGAAAUGUAACCCUUUAUUGAGAAAAAAACAAAAUCCAAACAGUAAGAAGAUAGAGGAUACGGAUAAAUAAACCCAAGCAAGUAGGUUUACCUCAUACACCUAAACCUAUCAUCCGCAAUUUCUAACCAUACUGACAUCUGGCAUAGAUGAAAUAUUUUCAUUAAAAGUCAUCUCAUUCUAUGUGGUUUACAUAUAAAUAUCAAAUAAAAGGCGAGACAAAGCAAAAAUAACAAGUAAACAAUCCAACUCAACAAUUACAUUGUCAAAGGCCAACUACUUUAAUCAUGACAAGACCACUCUGACGGCAAAAGCUUUAAUGAUGCAAGGAUUAAAACGAACAUAAAUAAAACUAAAAUUUAUUUUAAAUACACAGGUCAUACAUUUAAGGCAUUCAAAUUAUAUAUAAUCGUGUAAUAUUUUAAUAGAAAAGUUAACGAUAUUAACUAUUUGGGCUAAUUAAUAAUAUUAUAAAAAUAUGAAAAUUUAAAUUAAGUUAAAAAUUAAAAAUGAAAUUACAACAAUUAAUUCUCAAAUUUAAAUAUAAUAGAACAACUAAAAUCCAAUUUUAAUAUUUUUAAAUGAAAAAAAAAACAUCAUGGAAGAAGACUUUUAUAUAGAGUUAUAUAGAUAUAAAUUAGUAUUUCAUAUGAUGUUUUUGUUUUCAAACUUUUUUAUAUGAUGCAUUCCAAGGCCCGUCUUAUGACAUCUAGGUUGAAAGAGAUAAAUUGAACAAGUAUAGUUGCCCCCUAUUAGGAUAUGUUGGGACCGACCCGAUAAAGCAACUAGUAAAAAAAAUAGCGAAAUAAAUUGAGAAAUUGAAUACAUAAAUUUAACGUGGAAAAACCCCUCUAAAGAGGAUAAAAAACCACGGGCAAAAAAAAAUUUACUAUAAUUGUAAUAGCCUAAAUUUUCAGUGGUGUCGGAACAGUGAUUCGAGAUCACUAAAUCUGACAAAUGAGUAGAAAAUAUUAAUAAUUUAGUGAAUAUAAGUUAAAUGUGAAGUCAGGAAAAUUUUUUGAAAUAGCGAAUAGUGUACUAGAAAUAAAUAUUUAAAAAAAUUAGAAUCAGAAACGAGGUAUCGAGAGUUUAAAAUUUUUAAAACGAGCCAUAAAUAUUUUUAUAAAUAUUUAUGGAGUGUUAAUAAGUUAGUAUUAAAGUUUCGUCAAUAAAUUUUAAAGUUCCGAUAGUUAAUUGAAUAAAAAGGACUAAAUUGUAACAAAUGUAAAAUUAUGGAAAUGAUUAAAUAGCUUAAAUGAUAAAAGAAAGAGGGUUCAAAAGGAAAAUAGACCCAAGGUCUAUUUGGGCUGGACGGCAAGGGGCAUGAAAUCAGCAGGAAAAUUUAUGAAUUAAGGGUAAAAUUAGAAUAUUGCAAAAUUUACUUAAUAAAGCUAGGACUAAAGUGGAAUUAUCUAGAUUUCUCUUUAUUUUUCUGCAUUCUCAUCAGAAAAAAUACCAUAGAAGGGUCUUCUUAAGCUGGUUUUUCAUAUUUUUACCACAAGUAAGUUCAAUUCUUGAUUAUUUCUUGAAUUUUUCUUGAAUUUUUUGUGUUUUUAUGACUUUUACAACUAGGUCCACUUGUUGAAUUCAUUAGUUUUUGAUUCUAUGAAAGAAAUUGGAAGUUGCUAUGAAUAUGUGCUGGAAGUAUAUGAUGACUUAGCAUGGAAUUAGAGCUUUAAAUUGUUUAGAUGCUGAUUUUAUUGAAAGAAUUGAAUAGAAAGUGAAUGUUUGGGACCUAAUGGUGAAAGAGUUUGAAGUUAAGGUUUUAUGUGGAAAUUUUGAAUUUUAAUAGUUGUGAAAUAACUUAUAAUGUCUAGGUAAAGUAUUAAUUGAUAAAAAUCAGCUCAAUUGAGAGGUUAAUUGAGUAGGGACGGAAUUAUUAUUUAUUAAAAGCUUAGGGGAAAAAUGGUAAUAAACAGCUUGCACUAAAACAAUUUUGGACAGCAGCAGUAAACUAACUUUGAAAAAUCACCAUAAAUUUUAUAAAUCGAAUUAGAAGAUGAAAAAAAAAUGAAAUUAAAUCUUAUUGAGUCUAGUUUCUUAUAGAAGAAAUGGUGUAAGCAAUAGAUUUGUAAAUCACGAGAUAUAAUGAAUUUUGUGAGACAAGGUCAGAAUGAAUUUGGGUUCCCCUGUUCUGAAUUUGAAAAAUCAUAAAAAAUUGAAUAAAAAUAAUUAUGGGCUUAAAUUUAUAUGUUAGAAUCCUGAAUGAGUCUAUUUUCAAGAUAAAUAAAUGGGAACAUCAUAUGAAUUUCGUACGAUGAGAGAAUUAAUUUUUAGUGAAUAAAGGUCGGAACUGUCAGACAGCAGAAUAGGGGUGACUUUAAAGAAUAAACUAUACUUAGUGGCUAAACCAAAAAUUCUGAAAAUUUUACGAUAAGAAGAUAUGUGAGUCUAGUUUCAUAAAAAAUUAGCGGAUCCUAAUUUGAAGUUCUGUAGCUCAAGAUAAAAAUAAUUUAGUGACUAGAACAUGGACAGAUAACAUUGAAUAUACAUAGAUAAAUAGUGAAAUUGCAGAUAAUGUUACUUAUAAGCAUGUUAUAAACAUUAAGGAUGUGAAAUAGAAUGAAUGUGAAGUCAAUACUGAUAAGUGAAAAAUUUUAUAUUAUAGAUCAAGAAAUCGAGGAUAAACGAGGAAAAGAGAAAAUUCUGGAAUAGUUUCAGAAAUCUCUACAACUACUGUAAAUUGUUCAGGGUAAGUUCGUACGGUUAAAUUAUUAAAUUUAAAUAUUAUUUUAUGAAUGGUGAUUAAUAUUUAUGUAUAUUAAUUGUUGAAAAUAAGUAAAUUGCGUACAAAAGUUAUGAAAUUGAAUUGAGUAUUUCGGAGGAACGGAACGCAGGAAAUGAGUACGAUCUUUCAGUGAAAAAGAUGAAUUGACGGUAAAUUACCAAGUAAACCAAGAUUCGGCAUUUGUUGCGAAUUCUCGUGUUUGCUUUCUGUUUAGCUCUUACGAGCUUCCGUUAACUCAUAUGAGUUUUAGUUAACCCUUUUGGGGUUUCAGUUCAGCUCUGUGAGCUUCAGUUAUCCUUCGGGCUUCCGUUUAGCACUUAUGUGCUUCAGUUAGCUUUCGGGCUUUCGUUUAGCACUUAUGUGCUUCAGUUAGACUUCGAGCUUCAGAUCAUGAUGUACUCAAAUCCGUAAGUCGUUCCUUAAAUGGACAAGUUGGUAAGUCGUAAUUGUAACGUGUGAAAAAAGAAAUGUAAGUAAUGUUAUCAUUAUUUUUUAGCUCAAUUAAGUAAAUUAUUUUUUAAAAAGAGAGUAUGACUUACAGGAUGAAAGUAACUUACUUGAAAUGUCCAUAUGAUUUGAAUUUUGGAAACUAAUAUUUGGUAAGGAUUAUGGUUUAAGCCGACGAACUUACUAAGCUAUAGUUAGCUUACUUGUAAUGUUUAUUGCUCUUUGUAGAUUAACGGGAGGGUCAGAGGAUCGGAUCAUCACAUUCAAGUCACACUACCUCAACUUUCCGGUAGAUUUUGUUAUAAAUACUUUAAAUGGUUUAUAUGGCAUGUAUAUGAGCUUAUAUGACUGUUUUGUAUCAACUCAUGAAUAUAUUAGUUAAGUUAAUAUAAGUUGAUAUAUGAUAUGAAUGGAAAUUAAUUAAGAUGUUUAAAUACUACUUGAAAGUAUGAAUGGAUAUAAUGUUAGAUAAAAUAAGGAUUAGUGAUAUUGUUAUGAAACGAAUGUGAUUUGGAUGAAGAUUGUAUUUAUUGAGUUGUUGUGUUGAAUUGGUUGCAAAUUUGAAAUUGCAGGGAAGAUUAGAUGUUUCUAAAGGGGUUAUAUUGAAUUUUUUUUAAAAUAAUAAUAAUAAUAAUAAUUAUAUUACAAAAAAAUUUCGGAGUACUUGAAUAAGUCCCUAUUCAUUUAUAAUACGUGAUUUAGGCCUCGAGGGUUCAUAAAAGAGACUUAAUGAUUUAAUUUUAAUAUAUUUGUUGUUUAUUCAUGAAUUGUUUGUAAAUUAACCAAUAUGUUCGGUAAUGCCUCGUAACCCUAUUCCAGUAACGGUUUGGGAUUAAGGGGUGUUACAUUUAUUGGUAUCAGAGCUCGGUUUAGCCGAUUCUCGGUAUGGACGUGAUGUGUAAAAUGUUUAGAAAUACAUGCCAUAUAAAUCUGUGGUAGUGUGAUGUGUAUGAUCCGAUUUAACCCUUGUUUUUUUUUAGAUUGUAAAGAUGUCGGAUAGACCUGAACAUGCUGAACGAGAAGAAGCAAAUAGUAGAGUACAGACAUCUGAACAAGGGACAAGUAGUGAUGUUCUAAUUUCCUUGAUGCGAGAACAAAAACUUAGAAACAUGAUUAUUGGAGUAAUGAAUCAGUGGUAUAAUGAAAGGAUGCAGGAAAGGAAUCAGACCCAGCAACCUCCUCCCCCUACAGUACCACCAGUAGUGUCCUCGGUUGUUCCUCCACCUCCUCCUCCGGUAACUGAAUCAAGUAAGAGAACUCCGGUAGAAAAACUCAAAAAAUUUGGGGCUGAAGAAUUUCGGGCAGGUCAGAUGAUGAUCCAAUAAAAGCUGAGUAUUGGUUGCAGACCACGAUAAGAGUUUUUAAAGAAAUGGCUUGUUCUCCUGAUGACUAUUUAAGGUGUGCUGUUUCUUUGUUAAAAGAAGAAGCAUAUCACUGGUGGGAGAUAAUAGAAGCUGUGGUACCAGCCGAGAAACUUACUUGGGAAUUUUUCCAACCCGAGUUUAAGAAGAAAUAUGUUAGUAAAAAAUAUUUAGAAAAGAAAAAGAGAGAAUUUCUUGAUCUUCGACAGGGAAAUCGGACAGUAGCUGAGUACGAGAGAGAGUUUGUAUACCUUAGCAGAUAUGCUCGAGAGAUUGUUCCUACAGAAGAAGACAUGUGUGUUCGAUUUGAAGAAGGUCUGAAUGAUGAAAUCAGAAUGAUGAUAGGUGGUACAGAAAUUCGAGAAUUUAUGGUUUUAUCAGAUCGAGCUCAAAAGAUAGAAGAAGUGUACAACAGACAGAUACAACGGGAAAGAAGAAAUAAAGAAUCUUAUAAAAGAAGCUCCCUCAAAUCAUUUUUAGCAUUUUCGAUUAAAAAUUUUAAGGAGGAUUCCAUUCAAGCUACAUCGGUACCUGAACGAUUGAAGACUAGAGUAACUCAACCUGAUCAUGGAAUAUCAAUCAGAUCAGUUACUAGUGAAGCCAGUGUACAAAAUAUUCCCAAGUUUAAAUGUCAACACUGUGGAAAAUACCACUUGGGUGAAUGCAAAGGUAAAACAGGAGCUUACUACAAAUGUGGAGCCACUGAUCAUUUUAUCCUGAAUUGUCCUAUGUUACAAAAAGAUGAAGAAGAACAGAAGGAGAAACAGAUGGCUACUUCUCAGAGAAGUAAACAUGCUAGUCAAAGCAGUGCUGCAAGAGCUACUCGCUCGAGUGCAAAAGAUUCUGUUGCUCGGUCAGAGGUUAAAGCACCAGCACGUACAUACGCCAUCCGAGCUAGAGAAGAAGUCACCGCUCCAGACGUUAUUGCUGGUACUUUCUAUCUCUUUGAUGAUAUUUUAUAUGCAUUAAUUGACCCAGGUUCUACACAUUCUUAUAUUUGCACAGUAUUAGCAUUAGAAAAGAAAUUGUCUGUCGAAGCAACUGAAUAUGAUGUUCAAGUUACUAAUCCGUUAGGACAAAAGGUGAUAGUAAAUUUAGUGUGUCGAAAUUGUCCACUGAAAAUAAAAGGCUGUGAGUUCCCUGCUGAUUUAAUAUUGCUACCCUUUCGGGAAUUUGAUGUUAUAUUAGGAAUGGAUUGGUUGAUAAAAUAUGAUGCUGUGGUAAAUUGUCGUGAGAAGCGGAUCAGUUUGAAAUGUCAGACAGGUGAUAUACUUUCUGUUGAGCCUGAGAAUUCAAAUGAUGUUGUUAAAAUUAUUUCAGCUUUUUCGGCUCAGAGGUUGAUGCGGAAGGGUAAUGAGGUAUUUUUAGCUUACAUCCUUGAUACUCGAGGAUCUGAACCAAAACUAGAACAGUUUCCAGUUGUUAAUGAAUUUCCUGACGUAUUUCCUGAAGAAUUACCGGGUUUACCACCAGAUCGAGAAGUUAAAUUUAUAAUUGAUAUGGUACCGGGGACAGCUCCUAUAUCAGUGACACUAUACCAUAUGGCACCAGCUGAGUUAAAAGAGCUGAAGACACAGUUGCAGGAAUUACUAGACAAAAGGUUUAUUAGACCGAGUAUGUCACUUUGGGGUGCACCAGUUUUGUUCGUGAAAAAGAAAGACGGAUCUCUAAGACUGUGCAUAGACUACACUCAGCUAAACAGGGUUACAAUUAAAAAUAAAUAUCCUUUACCUUGCAUUGAUGAUUUGUUUGAUCAGUUGAAAGGUGCUGCCGUGUUUUCAAAGAUAGAUAUUCGAUCCGGAUAUUAUCAACUGAAAGUUAAAGAAUGUGAUGUGCCGAAAACUGCCUUCAGAACUUGGUAUGGUCAUUACGAGUUUUUGGUAAUGCCUUUUGGUUUAACUAAUGCCUCUCCUGCAUUUAUGGACUUAAUGAAUCAGAUUUUUCAGCCUUAUUUGGAUAGAUUUGUAGUUGUGUUUAUUGAUGAUAUACUGAUCUAUUCAAAGACAGAACCUGAGCAUGCUCAGCAUUUAAAGAUAGUGCUACAAACUUUGCGAGAAAAACAAUUAUAUGCAAAAUUCAGCAAAUGUGAAUUUUGGCUUCAUAAGGUUCGAUUUCUGGGUCACAUUGUUUUAGCCGAAGGGAUUCGAGUAGAUCCGAGUAAAGUAUCUGCAGUGGUAAAUUGGAAAACUCUAAGGAAUGUAACGGAAGUAUGAAGUUUUCUGGGUUUAGCUGGAUAUUAUCGCCAUUUUAUUAAAAAAAAUUUAAUGAUUGCUUCGCCUAUGACAUGAUUGCUACAGAAGAAUGUUGAGUUUGUGUGCUCUGACGAAUGCCAGCAAAGUUUUGAUCAGUUGAAGAAGAUGUUGACAACAGCUCCGGUGUUGACUCAACCAGAAUCAAGUGUGCCAUAUGUUGUAUACAGUGAUGCAUCUUUGGAUGGUUUAGGUUGUAUGCUGAUGCAGUCGGGAAAAGUGGUGGCCUAUGCUUCUCGGCAAUUAAAAUCACACGAGAAGAAUUAUCCUACGCAUGAUUUGGAGUUGCCUGCAAUUGUUUUUGCAUUGAAAAUUUGGAGACAUUAUUUAUAUGGUGAAAAAUGUUAUGUGUAUAAAGAUAAUAAAAGUUUGAAGAAUUUUAGGACAUAGAAGGAGUUGAAUUUGAGACAGAGAAGAUGGUUUAAGUUAUUAAAAGAUUAUGACCUUGUUAUUGAUUACCAUCCGGGAAAGGCAAAUAUAGUUGCUGACGCACUCAGUCGGAAAUCAUCUUUGCUUGCACUCCGGUCAAUGAAUGCCCAUUUGUCUGUUAGUGAAGAUGGAUCUAUAAUAGCGGAAUUGAAAGCCAAACCUAUGUUUCUCCAAUGAAUUCGAGAGUUGCAAGAUGAAGAUUCAAAGUUGGUAUUAAAGAAACAAAUAGCUCGAGACAAGCAGGAUUCAGAGUAUAACAUUGAUGAGAAUGGUAUGUUAUACUAUCGUAAAAGAAUUUGCAUUCCAAAUAAUUCAGACUUGAAAAAUUAUAUUCUUUCUGAAGCCCAUAGUAGUAGGUAUUCUAUUCACCCUGGAAAUACAAAAAUGUAUUGUGAUUUGAAACAGAUGUAUUGGUGGCCUGGUAUGAAAAGGGAAAUUUGUGAAUUUGUAGCAAAGUGUUUAAUAUGUCAACAGGUGAAAGCAGAACAUCAGGUACCAAUGGGUUUAUUACAACCUAUUAUGAUUCCAGAGUGGAAGUGGGAACAUGUUACUAUGGAUUUUGUAUCCGGGUUACUGUGACCCCUAAGAAGAAAGAUUCAAUCUGGGUAAUUGUCGAUAGAUUGAAAAAAUCAACACAUUUUAUUCCAGUCAGAACGGAUUUUCCACUGGAGAAGUUAUUAGAACUGUAUAUCUCUGAGAUUGUGAGGUUACAUGAACAUCCAUUAUUUCGGAUCGAGAUCUAAGGUUUACAUCGAGGUUUUGGAGCAAACUACAGGAAGCUUUAGGCACAAAGCUAAAUUUUAGUACCGCUUUUCAUCCUCAGACUGAUGGGCAAUCAGAGCGGGUAAUUCAGAUUUUGGAAGACAUGUUGAGAUAUUGUAUACUUGAGUUUGGUGGUAGUUGGGAAAAGUAUUUACCACUAGCCGAAUUUGCUUACAACAACAGUUAUCAAUCCAGCAUAAAGAUGGCGUCAUUUGAAGCUUUAUAUGGAAGAAAAUGUAAGACUCCAUUGCAUUGGUUAGAAUUGAGUGAAUCUAAGUUAGUGAGGGUUGAUUUAAUUCGGGAAACUAAAAAAAAGGUUCGGAUUAUCCAAGAUUGUUUGAAAGCUGCUUCGGAUCGUCAGAAAUCAUAUGCUGACUUGAAAAGAAGAGAAAUAGAGUUUAAUGUGGGUGAUCAAGUGUUCUUAAAGGUGUCACCGUGCAAAAAAGUAUUAUGAUUUGGCAGAAAAGGAAAACUAAGUCCAAGAUUUAUUGGACCAUACGAGAUUAUUGAAAUAGUCGGCCCUGUAGCAUAUCGGUUAGCUUUACCUCCAGAGCUUGAGAAGAUUCAUAAUGUGUUCCAUGUGUCUAUGCUGAGACGUUAUAGAUCAAACCUUUCACAUGUGAUUCCGCAUACAGAAAUUCAGUUUCCGUCAGAUAUGACUUAUUCAGAAGAACCUGUGAAGAUUUUGGCUCGGGAAAUUAAAUAAUUACGGAAUAAAAAGGUACCAUUAGUUAAAGUAUUGUGGCAUCGACAUGGUGUGGAGGAAGCAACCUGGGAAACAGAGGAAUCAAUGAAAUCACAAUAUCCGAACUUAUUUUCAGGUAACAAAUUUCGAGGACAAAAUUUCUUAAGAGGGGGAGAAUUGUAAUAGCCUAAAUUUUCAGUGGUGUCAGAACAGUGAUUCGACAUCACUAAAUCUGACAAAUGAGUAGAAAAUAUUAAUAAUUUAGUGAAUAUAAGUUAAAUGUGAAGUUAGGAAAAAAUUUUGAAAUAGCGAAUAGUGUAUUAGAAAUCAAUAUUUAAAAAAAUUAGAAUCGGAAACGAGGUAUCGAGAGUUUGAAAAUUUUAAAACGAGCCAUAAAUAUUUUUAUAAAUAUUUAUGGAGUGUUAAUAAGUUAGUAUUAAAGUUUCGUCAAGAAAUUUUAAAGUUCCGAUAGUUAAUUGAAUAAAAAGGACUAAAUUGUAACAAAUGUAAAAUUAUAGAAAUGAUUAAAUAGCUUAAAUGAUAAAAGAAAGAAGGUUUAAAAGGAAAUAGACUGAAGGUCUAUUUGGACUGGACGGCAAGGGGCAUGAAAUCAGCAGGAAAAUUUAUGAAUUAAGGGUAAAAUUAGAAUAUUGAAAAAUUUACUUAAUAAAGCUAGGACUAAAGUGGAAUUAUCUAGAUUUCUCUUUAGUUUUCUGCAUUCUCAUCAGCAAAAACACCAUAUAAGGGUUUUCUUAAGCUGGUUUUUCAUAUUUUUACCACAAGUAAGUUCAAUUCUUGAUUAUUUCUUGAAUUUUUUGUGUUUUUAUGACUUUUACCAUUAGGUCCACUUGUUGAAUUCAUUAGUUUUUGAUUCUAUGAAAGAAAUUGGAAGUUUCUAUGAAUAUGUUCUGGAAGUAUAUGAUGAUUUAGCAUGGAAUUAGAGCUUUAAAUUGUUUAUAUGCUGAUUUUAUUGAAAGAAUUGAAUAGAAAGUGAAUGUUUGGGACCUGAUGGUGAAAGACUUUGAAGUUAAGGUUUUAUGUGAAAAUUUUAAAUUUUAAUAGUUGUGAAAUAACUUAUAAUGUCUAGGUAAAGUAUUAAUUGAGAAAAAUCAGCUCAAUUGAGAGGUUAAUUGAGUAGGGACGAAAUUGUUAUUUAUUAAAAGCUUAGGGGAAAAAUGGUAAUAAAUAGCUUGCACUAAAACAAUUUUGGACAGCAGCAGUAGACUAACUUUAAAAAAUCACCAUAAAUUGUGUAAAUCGAAUUAGAAGAUGAAAAAAAAUGAAAUUAAAGCUUAUUAAGUCUAUUCUCUUAUAGAAGAAAUGGUGUAAGCAAUAGAUUUGUAAAUCAUGAGAUAUAAUGAAUUUUGUGAUACAAUGUCAGAAUGAAUUCGGGUUCCCCUAUUCUGACUUUGAAAAAUAAUAAAAAAUAAAAAUAAAAAUAAUUAGGGGCUUAAAUUUAUAUUUAUAGAAUCCUGAAUGAGUCUAUUUUUAAGAGAAUUAAAUGGGAACAUCAUAUGAAUUUCUUAUGAGGAGAUAAUUAAUUUUUAGUGAAGAAAGGUCGGAACUGUCAAACAGCAGAAUAGGGGUGACUUUAAAGAAUAAACUGUACUUAUUGGCUAAACUAAAAAUUCUGAAAAUUUUAUGAUAAUAAGAUAUUGAGUCUAGUUUCAGGAAAAAUUAGCGGAUCCUAAUUUGGAGUUCUGUAGUUCAAGAUAAAAAUAAUUUAGUGACUAUGACAUGGACAGACAGCAUUGAAUGUAUAUAGAUAAAUAGUGAAAUUGCAGAUAAUGUUACUUAUAAGCGGGUUAUAAACAUUAAGGAUGUGAAAUAGAAUGAAUGUGAAGUCAAUACUGAUAAGUGAAAAAUUUUAUAUUAUAGAUCAAGAAAUCGAGGAUAAACGAGGAAAAGAGAAAAUUCCGGAAUAGUUCCAGAAAUCUCUACAACUACUGCAAAUUGUUCUGGGUAAGUUCGUAUGGUUAAAUUAUUAAAUUUCAAUAUUAUUUUAUGAAUGGUGAUUAAUAUUUAUGUAUAUUAAUUGUUGAAAAUAAGUAAAUUGCGUACAAAAGUUAUGAAAUUGAACUGAGUAUUUCGGAGGAACGGAACGCAGGAAAUGAGUACGAUCUUUCAGUGAAAAAGAUGAAUUGACGGUAAAUUACCCACGUAAACCGAGAUUCAACAUUUGUUUCGAAUUCUCAUGUUUGCUUUCUGUUUAGCUCUUACGAGCUUCCGUUAAUUCAUAUGAGUUUCAGUUAACCCUUUUGGGGUUUCAGUUCAGCUCUGGUGAGCUUCAGUUAGCCUUCGGGCUUCCGUUUAGCACUUAUUUGCUUCAGUUAGCUUUCGAGCUUUCGUUAAGCACUUAUGUGCUUCAGUUAGACUUCGGGCUUCAGAUCACGAUGUACUCAAAUCCGUAACCCGUUCCUUAAAUAGACAAGUUGGUAAGUCGUAAUUGUAACGUGUGGAAAAAGAAAUGUAAGUAAUGUUAUCAUUAUUUUUGAGCUCAAUUAAGUAAAUUAUUUUUUAAAAUGAGAUUAUGACUUACAGGAUGAAAGUAACUUACUUGAAAUGUCCAUAUGAUUUGAAUUUUGGGAACUAAUAUUUGGUAAGGUUUAUGGUUUAAGCCGACGAACUUACUAAGCUAUAGUCAGCUUACUUGUAAUGUUUAUUGCUCUUUGUAGAUUAACGGGAGGGUGAGAGGAUCGGAUCAUCACAUUCAAGUUACACUAUCUCGACUUUCCGGUAGAUUUUGUUAUAAAUACUUUAAAUGGUUUAUAUGGCAUGUAUAGGAGCUUAUAUGACUAUGUUUUGUAUCAACUCAUGAAUAUAUUAGUUAAGUUAAUAUAAGUUGAUAUAUGAUAUGAAUGAAAAUUAAUUAAGAUGUUUAAAUACUACUUGAAAGUAUGAAUGGAUAUAAUGUUAGAUAAAAUAAGGAUUAGUGAUAUUGUUAUGAAACGAAUGCGAUUUGGAUGAAGAUUGUAUUUGUUGAGUUGUUGUUGUGUUGAAUUGGUUGCAAAUUUGAAAUUGCAGGGAAGGUUAGAUGUUUCUAGAGGGGUUAUAUUGAAUUUUUUUUAAAAAUAAUAAUAAUAAUAAUAAUUAUAUUUCGAAAAAUUUCCGGAGUACUUGAAUAAGUCCCUAUUCAUUUAUAAUACGUGAUUUAGGCCUCGGGGGUUCAUAAAAGAGACUUAAUGAUUUAAUUUUAAUAUAUUUGUUGUUUAUUCAUGAAUUGUUUAUAAAUUAACCAAUAUGUUCGGUAAUGCCUCGUAACCCUAUUCCGGCGAUGGUUUGGGAUUAGGGGGUGUUACAAUAAUGGAAAAAGAAUGAAGAGUACAAAAGACGGAGAUAAAAACUAAACCCCGAAAACCUAAAAACAAAGAACCCUCAAAACGUAAACACAAAAUUCUCUAAAUGUGUUAUGAGUUCUAAUCUCUAAUGGAUGUAUAUUCUAAGGUUGUAAAAGAGCCUAUUUAUAGGCUAAAUUCAUAGGUCAAAUAAUAAUGAAAUAAUCUAAACUAAUUAUUGUUUGAUUGAAACAAAUAAACGAAGUUUAACUAGAAGAUUAUUUCUCAAAUUUGACUAAAAUAGGAGUCAUACUUAACAAAUCUCCACAUUGACUCAUAUUUUCACAACGUCAUCUUUGCCAAAACCCACCACGAGCCUCUCUUGAACUAUGCAGGGAAGUAAUUGAGUCGAAUCUGUGCUUAGAAAUUGGAAGACUUCUAGCCAUCGACUUGUACACUGCCAAAUCAAAACUAACCCAGGUUUGAUUUUCACGAAUACAGUGUCCUAACUUUUCAAAACCUGCAUCCAAAAGAAAACCUCUCUUCAACAAAAUGGUCGUACCUUUUUCCCUCCUAUGACCAAGUUGCCUCCGUUCUAAACGAGUUGACUUCAACUUCGUAACGGACGAGGGACGUCCGAUUUCACCGGUCACUGUAGAACCUUUCAGAAUAUAAAGACUGCCGGUUGUUUUACCUUUUAACAAAACGAGAGCUCCAUGAGAUACUUUAAUGUCGCUCGACUCGAUGUUGAUUCUGCAUCCUUUCAAGUCUAAAAUACUUAAGGAGAUGAGAUUCUUUCGUAAAUCAGGUACAUACUUGGCAUCUGAGAGUGUCCUAAUCGUCCCAUUGUGUAUCCUAAUUUUAACAGUACCAAUACCAAUUUCCUUACUAGAUGAAUCGUUUCACAUGCGCACAACUCCACUUUCAACUGAACUGCAUGUAGAGAACCAUUCUCUAUUGGGACACAUGUGGAAAGAACAUCCGAAAUCUAGGAUCCACUCGGACGUGAGCUUGGAGUUAUCGCUCAUUGACACAACAAGAAAUCAUCACUGCUUUCAUCAACCAAAUUAACACCAGCUACAUCUUCCUCGUUACUCCCAGCAGCUAUUUUAUUUCGCAGUUUAUAAUAAUCUGCUUUGACGUGACCUAACUUUUUACAAUAGCGACACCUUUUGUCUUGUUUCUUUGAUGCUACCAAAAUGGAAGCUUGCUUAUCUGCCUUGCUAUCCAAACCAAACUCAUUGUCGAGUUUGUUUCUACUCAACAAAUGACCAUUCACAUCUUUGAACGAGAGUUUGUCUCUGCCAUAAAUCAGGGUUUCCUUGAAAGACUUGUAUGCAGGGGGUAAAGAGCACAAUAAUCGCAUAGCCUGAUCUUCAUCGUCAAUAUAAAUCUCAACGUUCUUUAAAUCAUUUAAAAGAGUAAUGAAUUGACUGAUGUGAUCUCUAAGAAGCUCACAUUUGUUCAUGCAAAACGUAAAUAGACGUUGUUUCAAUACUAAACGGUUAGCUAGAGACUUAGUCGCAUAAAGAGUUUCUAACCUUUUCCACAAGGCAAAUGAGGUUUUCUCCAUCAAUACCUCCUGCAAUACCGUAUUCGCGAAGCACAACUGGAUUGCAGACAAGGCCUUUUCAUCAAGCUCUUCCCUUUCUGUUUGAUUUAGAUUUUUAGGCUUUUUCCCGAUAACAACAUUUUUCAAGCGGUUUGAACUAGAAUUACCAUCAUCCGAACUUGCCACAUAUUGAAAUUUAUCUCACCAUCGAACUUAUCAAUUUCAAACCUUGUUGCUGCUAUAUCUGAAUGGGUUGAUCUAUGAAAAAUUGAACUAGCUCUGAUACCACUUGUUGGGAUCGACCUGAUUAAGCAAUAAGUAAAAAAAAUAGCGGAAUAAAUUGAGAAAUUGAAUAGAUAAAUUUAACGUGGAAAAAUCCCUCCAAAGAGGAUAAAAAACCAUGAGCAAAAAUAAUUUUACUAUAAUGGCAAAAAAAUAAAGAGUACAAAAGAUGGAGAUAAAAACUAAACCCCGAAAACCCGAAAACAAAGAACUCUCAAAACGUAAACACAAAAGUCUCUAAAUGUGUUAUGAGUUCUAACCUCUAAUGGGUGUAUAUUCUAAGGUUGUAAAAGAGCCUAUUUAUAGGCUAAAUUCAUAGGUCAAAUAAUAAUGAAAUAAUCUAAACUAAUCAAUGUUUGAUUGAAACAAAUAAACAGUGUUUAACUAGAAAAUUAUUUUUCAAAUUUGACUGAAGUAGGAGUCACACUUCAAAGGAUAUACUAUUAAAUCUAAAUUGGGGUUAUCCUCUAAAAACUACGGUAUAGCAGUUUAUAAAUGUUUACGUGGCAAACUUGAUUUUACCAAAGAUGAUAAGAAUGUGAACUCCCAACCACUUAUGUGCUAGAAAGACCAUUUUUUAUUUUAUGCCGAAAUAAUUUAUAGAGCACAUUUUAAAAUAGGUGAUGAAAUCAAAAAAUAUUACUUGAAUGUUACUGUAGAUACGUACAUCUGAAGAAAUAGUAAAAAAAGACCGUGUGUCAUAGAAUUAAGAGUUACUAUCAUAAUGCACAACUACUUAAUAGGUGGGUUUAGUACAAAUAUUAGCUUGGCUUAUUAUUUUUCAGAUAAUGGUCUAUUUAUUUACAUCGAUGGCAGUGAACACAUUUAUUAAUUGACAGAAAAAAUAUGAAAUGCACUUUCGUGUAUUAACUAAAGUUUUAUGUAUAUCUGGUGGAGAUUAUAUUCACAAUAAUAUUUAUCAUAUUUAAUGUUAUCAUAUAAGUCGAUAAGGGUUGUGGGAUGGAAUUAUUGGGAGAAUAAUCCAACUAGCAAAAUCAAAUAAAAAAACUGGAAAAAACCACAAAAAUCACGGGUGGACUAAAUAAAUUAACCACAAAACGUGUGACAUGUGAACGAAUUUUUUUUUGUUUUACAAUUAAACAGACGUUUACAACACAUAAUGAUAAUUUAAAACCUUCAACAGACUUCAUAAUAAGAAUAAGAAUAAGAAUAAGAAUAAUAAUAAGCUUCAACAAAGGUGAGCUCGGGGUUAUUACCAUGGUGUUCAACAAUGGACGAUGAUGGUCUUCAAUCUUCAUGCUUUUUCACACUAGAAUUCCUUAUAAAUACGGUGUUUGAUCCUCGGAUGCUUCUCAUAACUCACUUAAUCACGUAUUUUAACUUCAAUCUUUGGGUUGGGAUUAAAAAAAAUGGCUAGUCCUUUUGCGAAAAGGAAGAUGACAACGGUGCUGAGUAUUGAUGGAGGUGGCAUUCGAGGCAUUAUCCCAUCCACUCUUCUUGCUUUCCUUGAAACCAAGCUUCAGGUUCUUCAUGAAUCUAUACUUAAUUUUUUCACAAUAAAUCAUGUCUUCUAUACUCAUAUGUGGGGAAACACAAGCUAAAGUUUUGUUACAUGUGGUUGAGUUAUGUUUUGGUAGGAGUUGGAUGGACCAAAUGCAAGAAUUGCAGAUUAUUUCGACCUCAUUGCAGGCACAAGCACUGGUGGGUUGAUAGCCACCAUGCUUACUACUCCAAACCAACAGAACAGGCCUUCGUUCGCUGCAAAAGAUAUCAGCAAUUUCUAUUUAGAGCAUAGCCCCAAGAUUUUCCCCCAGCAUAGGUGAAUUCUAAUGGCAAUAUUGCUUCUCUUUUGUUACUAAUUUCUUCAUGCAGAAUCAAUUUUAACGUAUUUGUUUAUUCUUUAGUCGCUUUAAUUUCCUGGCAUCAAUGGGGAAUUCAAUCAAAGCAGCAUUCUUGGGUCCCAAAUAUGAUGGAAAGUACCCACGAUCAUUGACGAACCAAUUAUUACAAGACACUACACUCAAACAGUCACUCACAAAUGUGCUUAUCCCAGCUUUCGAUAUCAAGCUUCUUCAGCCAGUCAUCUUCUCAACCAAUAAUGUAGGUUUAGCUUAUUAUGGAGCUUUCCCAUUUCAGUUUAAACAAGAAUCCAACUUAUAUUCUUACAUUUUUCUUCUCGAGUUGUAAUUACAGGGAAAGUCGGAUGUUGCGAAGAAUGCAAGGUUAGCUGAUGUGUGCAUGAGCACCUCCGCUGCUCCCACUUAUCUUCCGGCACACUACUUUGAAACUAAAGAUGCUGACGGUAAAACCCGCACAUUUGAUCUCAUUGACGAUGGAGUUGCUGCAAAUAAUCCUGUCCGUACGAUUUCUUCAUUUCGGCUUGUUGGUUUAUGUUGGACACAUGCAUGACUGUCACAAUCUCAAAGAGAUGAAAUUUAAACAAAAAGUAUAUAAUAUAUUUGCAGAUAUUGCUAGCCAUUACCCAGAUUACGAAAGACAUGUGGAAGGAAAAGAGUGAGAUUGUGGGAAAUGAGGCGAUUGAUUGCAGGAGGAUGCUAGUGUUGUCACUGGGAGCAGGUGCAGCCAAGCAUGAAGAGAAAUACAAUGCAGCAGCGGCAUCCAAAUGGGGUAGGACCGACUGGCUGUACAACGGUGGCAAAACUCCGAUUAUUGAUGUGUUUUUGGACGCAAGCUCCGACAUGGUUGAUUUCCAUACCGCUACUCUCUUCCACUCUUUUCAAUCCGUAGUGUAAUUAUCUUCGUAUACAGGUACCAGGGUUCAUUGGCCAAGUAGCUUCUUUUUAAACGUUAUUUUUCAAACCUAAUAUCUUUAUGGAAACCCUCCAUCUCAAAUAUUGAACAGACUUGAGGGAGUACCACAAGUGGUUAUAUAAUAUUUCUACUCAUUUUGGUGACAAAACAGGACGACACAUUGACGGGGGAUGCAUCGUCGGUAGACAUUGCAACUGAGAAAAAUCUGAAAUAUCUUGUGCAAAUUGGGGCAAAGCUGUUAAAGAAACCAGUCUCAAGAGUGAAUUGGGAGACCGGCAAAUAUGAAGCUGUUGAAGGAGAGUCUUCCACCAAUGAAGAAGCUCUUGUUGAUUUUGCUAAGAAGCUUUCCCAAGAACGAAAGCUUAGGCUUGCUUCAUAAAUUUCGAACUUUUUUUUAAUGUAGUGUUUCCUCUUAUAAAGCUAUUCAAACCAUUUUCUUUUUAAUGGGAUGCACGGUUUUUAUUUAUUUUUAUUGUAAUUUUUUGGUUAAAUUAUUAUUUGGGGUUUGAACUUGACAAUAAAUUUUAUAUUGGGUUUAAAUUUUUUUUUUUAAAUUAAGCAUUGAACUUUAUAAGUAUUUUUAUAUUGGAGUUUGAACUAAGCAAUUAUUCUCAUAUUAGGCUUGAAUAUAUUUUUUUUGUUUAAGUUAUUAGUUCCUAAACUUGAUAAUUAUUUUCAUAUUAGGACAUGCACGAGGCAACCAUUUCCAUAUUGGAGCUUAAAUUUUAAGGGUUUCAAAGAAAUAUCAUAAAUUAACUUAGAUAAAAAAAAUUCAUGCCCCAAUAUAAAAAUAAUUGUCAAAUUUAUGAGCCCAAAUAUAGAGACAAUUGCCAAGUUCAUGACUUAACUUGGACCAAAAAAUAGUUCAAGUCCAAUGUAGUAGUUGUCAAAUUCAAACAAUUUAACCCUAAUUUUUUUAUUCAAUUAUUUAUGUAGUCAUAUAUUAAAAUUUUAAAAAAAAAAUUAGAAUUUUCGUCAUUUAAAAAAAUUAUAAAAAUAAUAAACCUUAAAGAAAAUUAAAAAUAAUAAAAAUAAAAUACAUAUAUUGAAAAAUACAUACCGUUUACAAUUUCUCGGACCAUUCUUGACUAGUAUUCUAUAUAACAGUUUUGAAAAAAAAAACCAUAAAUGUAUAACCUAACAAAUAAAUGAAGAAGCAUACAAAAUUUAGUGAAUAAUGAAAUAUGUUUCCAAAUCAAUUUUUUUUUAAUUAUUCAUCAUUAAAAUCUUAAAUCUCAUUUGUCGAAAAUUUAAAACUAGUUAAAAAAAAUACAUGCUAUACAUUAAGCCUACUUAUAUUUAAAACUCAUCAAUAGAUGCGAUUUUAGUUUUAAAUUUUUGAGGUUGUGUUUUAGCGGAUCUAAUUUAUUUCUUCAAACUUAUUUUUCGAAUCUAAUAUUUUUGUUAAAACCUAAUCAAAUUUCAAUUAAGUCUUUGGGAUUGCUUAUGUUUAUUAUUCAUGCUAUACAUUAAGCUUUUGACGAAGGUGUUGUCACAAAUCAAUUAAGCACCGAUUCAGUUAAAUAAUGAUUAAAAUACAAUUAUUUUAUAAAAUAAAUUAUAUUAUUUUGAAGGUAUUUUGUCCUUUUACAUUUCAUAAAAAAAAUAGAAGAAUGCACAUAAUAUGAUUUGAACUUAAAACUUUAAAAAACUUUAUAAUUUCAACUAAAGCCUCCUUUGUUUUUUAUAUCAAAUUUUAUAAAUAUAUUUGUUACAUAAUGUUUAGGAGUCUAAGGAGGGCCCUCUGUUAGUCAUCUGUUAGUCUGUUAGUCUAUUAUACUCAAGUUGUUAUACAGUUGCUGAAUUGUUAGCAACAAAUUACUCAUACAACACUUAUAAAUACUUGUAAUUGUACAGAUUCAAGAAAUAACAACAAUCAAUUCAAUUUCUCUAUUCAAUUUCUGAAUUACUUUUCAAUUUUACUAGAGAUAUUAACAUGGUAUUAGUUGCCUACCUUUUGGAGACCUGAUAUAUUGUGAUUUCAUGUCUACCACUGCUUCCGCCGACUCAACCACUGCUCCUCCUUGCUGCUCAAUGUUCACUAGCACUCAGUUGGUUCAGUCCUUUCCUUAUCACGAUACUGUUAAGCUAGAUGAAAAUAAUUUUGUGCAAUGGCAACAGCACAUACGUUUGAUUACAAAAGGAUAUAAUUUGACCCAUUUUUUAGAAGGCACAUUACCUGCUCCAUCAAGGUUCGUACAGUCACUGGAUGGAUUUUGGUGGCAAAUCCGGAAGCCUCGGCUUAUGUUUAACAGGAUAAGUUGCUUGCUUCUUGGCUUCUUUCUACUAUUAGCUCAUCUCUUUUGUCUAGUUUCAAAGAUGCGAAGUCGGCGUGUGACGUUUGGACCACCGCUACUCGUCUCUUUGCUGCUGUCUCCGGUGCGAAGCUCUCCCGAAUCCGUCAUGAUCUCCACUUGAUCAAGAAAGGUGCGAUGUCAAUCACGGAGUACAUCGCGAAGAUCUAGAACACAUGUGCCUUGAUAGAUGCAGCUGGAUCUCGGAUUUCAAAAACAGAGAAGGUAGAGAUCGUGUUUGCCGGGUUACCAUCGGAGUUUGACGCUGUACUCACUCUUGCGUCCUUUUCGUCCGAACCUCUGCCAUUGCAACGUUUGGUUGAUAUCUUGUUGGAGUUUGAGAGUAGGUAGAUUCGUGCGAUUCGGGAGGCACCGUUACAUACACAUCUGGUCGAGGCAACUCCGUCAACAAUGGUGGUCGAUUCCGCGCGUAGAGGCCGUUCGCUUGUUGGUUGUGGGAGAGGUUUUAGAUCUUGCAUUCCAUGCCAAAUAUGUGGUCAGUCUGGGCACUUGGCUCAACGGUGUUAUUACCAUUUCAACCGUGACUGUGGUGGUCCGGCGUCGGGGGCAAGGGUCUCAUCUUCGUCCAGUUUUGUCAAUCAAGGUUCUGGUGUGCUGUAUGCUGCUGUGCCCGCCCCGAUGUCAAUCUCCAGUGCUGGUCUCCCCUCGAUGGUGCCACAGUUGAAUUUUCCUAAUGGAUGGUGGGGUGGUUCUCUACCAGUUGCAGCUCUCUUAUUUUUGCAACAGACCAGGGUUUCUCAACAUUUUAUUUCACAUGAGGAUGGGGCUGGCUAUUCGUUUCGGCCAUCCGUUGGGCCUAGUGUAAUGUGUCAUCCGUUGAGCCUAGUCCUUUAAUUGGACUUUCUAAUCAAGCUGGGCCAUAUUCAGCAGGCACUAAUUUUGGGCACCAUUUCCACAAUAUUGGAUCGUCCACCACUUUAGCUCUCCAUGAGCCGAUUUCGAACUAUAUUCAAUUUGAGGGGUCUAUUGAUCAUGGUCUGGGUUUUCGGCCUAUAAGUGGCGAGGAGUUUGGGCCGAAUUAUGGGUCCCGCAUUCCAUGGAUGAGAAAACCACGUGCUUGUGUUUUUCCUACAUCGGCUCUGCCGUGUGUUGGGUUGCCCCAUGUUCCCAACUUUCACACAUCUAAUGUCUCAAAUUCCACUAGAUCUAAUAUUAGUUCAACUAAUUUUGGGUCUAAUUUUGAUGAUGAUUCAUAUAUUCCUAUGCUUGUAGGGAUGUCAUCUUGGUCUCCAAAUUUAGGGGCUACGCAUCACGUCUGUCCAGAGGCCUCUGCCUUAAAUGAGUUCACACCGUAUUCAGGUAUAUCUCUUCUCCUCAUGGGUGAUGGGACUCCCACAAAAAUUUUGAGUAUUGGUAAUUCUAUUUUGCCCACGAAGACUAAAUUGCUUUACUUGUCUAAUGUUCUAUAUGUGCCGACUAAUCUCCUGUCUUGUAACAGCCCGAUUUAGACCCUAUUCAGAAAAGUGGUUUCAGGACCACAAAUCUGACUCAGAAAAAUAUUUUAAUAUUAUUUUUGGUGUCUACAGCAUGUUAAUUUAUAUGUGUGAACUUUUCGUGAUUUAAUUUUAUCGUUUGAGUGUUCGAUUUAAUAAAAGGACUUAAUCGCGUAAAAUGUAAAAGUAACUUUCCAUAUGUUAAAGAGCUUAUUUGCUUUGAGGAAUUAAUUAUGGGGUCCUUAUGUGGCAAAUUGGAAAUUAACUAAUAGCAUGGCCGGUUUUGGGCUUGAAAUAUAUGGUUUACUAACUAAAUUUAUAAGGUUAAAAUGGUAAUUAAUAUAUUAAUAUGUAUUAAAUAAAAAAAAACAAAUGGCCAUGCAUGUGUUCAUCUUUCUUGGUCAAAUCUAUGAAGGAAAUAAAGAUUUGGAAGCUUGGAACAUUCGGCACCUUUGGGAGCUUAAUUCAGGUAUGUGUUUUGCUCGGUUUUUUAUGAUUUUUACGUUUUUGAGAUCGUUGCUUUGAAUACUAGCUAGCCCAUGCUUGCAUUUUUGAAUUUGAUGAUGUAUUCAUGAAUUGCCAUUGAUGAUAGGUUGUGGUUUUUGUUGUUUAGUGAUGGAAAAUAAAAAUAUGUUGUUAGAUUAAUAUGUUUAAUGAAGUAAUUUUUAGUAAAAAUGCCUAAUUAGGAUUAAAUUGUGAAUUUUGUAAAUUGAGGGGCCAAAAUGUGAAAUAAAUGAAAGAAAUGGGCCUUGAUGAAAUUCGGUCAAGCAUGGGUGUGAUGAAAUUUUGAAUAUUUUGUGUUUUGUGAAAUAGGGACUAAAUUGUGAAAAAUGUGAAAUGUCAAGGGCAAAAGUGUAAUUAACCCAUUUAUGUGUUUUUGGAUGAAUUUGAUUGAAUAUAUGAUUAAAUAAGUUGAAUUUAUAUUGAAUUAGAUUAAGAAAAGAGGAAAUCAUAAUUGGAUCAGGGGAAAUCUAAAGUUGUCGAAUAGUCGUCUCGGUUCAUUCGUCUUUGUCCGAGGCAAGUUCAUAAGUGAAUAAAUGAUGUUAAAUUGAAUGUAUUUAUUUUAUACAUAGCCAAUUAAAUUGUAUAAAUGUGUAACCACCUAGCCGAAUUAUAUUUAGCAUUGAAUGAUUUGUUAAGAGUAUGAAAAAAUGAUCGAGUUACGACGUUUGAAAGCCCUGUACAACCUUAGGAAUAUUUAGGAUACAUAUGUCAUGACAUAGGAUUCCGAUAUGUGAUUUUGUGUAAGACCAAGUUUGGGACGUUGGCUCGAUUUGUGAUUUACGUGUAAGACCAUGUCUGGGACAUCGACAUCGUAUAUGAGUUCAUGUAAGAUCCUGUCUGGGACAGUGGCAUCAAUAUGUGAUUACAUGUAAGACCACGUCUGAGACGUUAGUGUUGUACGAGCUUUUCGACUAUCCGAGUAUCCUUAUUAAUUUUGAAUGGUUUAACGGGCAAUAUCAAGUUAAGAUCGAAUGUGAAAUUGAGCUAAAAGGUUAAGGUACGUGCUAAGUUAGAUGAUUAUGAAAGUAAGGUAUAUACUUGAUAUGAAUACAUGAACCAUGCAUGAUAAAAAAAGAAAUUUAUAUAUAUGCUUAUGAGCAUGUUUGUAUUCGGUCAAGUUUAGUAUAAUAUGUUAUUGUUAUGUGAUGAUAUAUGAAUUUGCAAAUAUGAUAAAUGUAUAUGUGAUUAAGGUUUGUUUGAUUCGGCUUAGUUUAAUUGAAUUAUGUAUGUCAUUGAAAUGAUUUAUUUGCUUAUGACUUACUAAGCUAUUCAAGCUUACUAUGUUUGUUCGUUCAAUGUUUUAUAGAUUUUUGGAAGCUAAUUACGAGCUCGGGUAUCGUCAAGGAAAUUCAUCACAUUAUCGAUCGCUAUUUCGGUAUUUUAUAAGUUAAAACUUUGAACCUAUGGCAUAUAUAGGCUAGAUAACAUAUUUAAUCUUGGAGUAUGUAUAUAUAUUUAGCCAUGCGAAAAUGGCUUGAUCAUAAUGUUAAUAUCUAUGUGUAUUGUUUGUGACUUAAACUUAUUUUUGGAGGUAUGUUUCAUGGUUAAUAUGCUUGGAGUGAUUGGUUUAUGUUUCGGCAAAGGUGAUUAAAUCAUAUAGCUAAUUGUUUAGUUAUAUGUAAAUGUUGAAUUUGGUGGUAUUCACUAUGUGUGGACUAUGUCAUGCUAUUGGUAUUUGACUAUUAAAUAUGUUUUUUUUUUUAAUUGGUUUGUAAUGGUAAAAAUUUCAUUGAUGAAUUGAUUUGGAAAUAGUGAAUAAUUUGCACGUGAGUAUUCAACUAUGGUUUUAGGUUCAUGUUGAUGAGUAUGUAAUAUUGGUAUUUGGUAUGUAUAUAUAUAAUUAUGUGAUCUUGCCGUAUGCAUUGGUCAUUUUUUUUAUUGAGUUGAAAAGGAAAUUUUAGCUUAAUUUGAAGAGUAAGAACUCGUAUCAUUUUUGUGGUUAUAUUUGAUUGCCGAAUAGAUGAGAUGAGAUUUGAUUUUGUGUAUGUAUUCUAGGCAUGAUAAGUAGCAUGUGGUUUAGGUGAAAUUCAAAUUGUUAUAUGUGCUCAAAAUGUUUUGAAAUGAUAUGGUAAAUUUUGCUAUGGAAAUUAAGCCAUGUAAAUUGGAUGGUUUGGUUACAGGUGAGCAUGAAUAAAAGUAUGGAGUAAUAUGUAUGAUUUUAGUUCUAAAAUAAAGGUAACAUCAUAUGCUUGGAUGUAUUAAUGUAUGCGUAUAUAAUUUGUAAUGUAUAAGUUAUUAAGUUAGACAUGUUAGGUUCGGCAAUCGAGUUUAGAUUUGGUUAUUGAGACCAUGGUUAAAUGUGCAUAUGGCUAAUAUGUUUAAAAAAAUAAAACUUGACCAUCUUAUGAAGUUGUUUGUGCCGGUUAUAAUAUGAUCAAAAUCUUUGAUUUAUGAUUCAUUUGGUAUAAAAUGUGCAUGAAUGAUUUAUGAAGUAAAAUAAUUAUUUUUAUUAGCUGUUUGAAUAUUAUUAACAUGAUGAGCACAUGAUUUGAAUGAUGUAUUAUUAAAGCAAUUAUGAUAUGACUUUGGGACUUGUUUAUUGACUUGUAAUUAUGAUAUAUGUUUGAUAUGGGUUCAAUUGAACCUUGUGAUAUGAUUUGUAUACGAUGGUCGUGUAACUAACUAAAAAUUCAACUUAAGGCAAGCGCACCUAUUGAACAGUAGUAUAGUUAUGGUGAGACCGGAAAUAUCGUAUCCACGAGGACUAAAAGUACUAGUAAUUACUAUCUUUUUAUUAUCUAGCCUAAGAAUUAAAGUGUGUUUUUAAACUAAACUAAUUUUCUAAUUUAACUAAGAUUAUGACAGAGAUGAAAGUUGGAAAAUACUUUAGAAAAAACCAAUGGAGAAGACAAUACCCAAGAAAGAAUCCACCUAGACUUCACUUAUUACCUCUGACUUAGAUGAUUUAUUCACUUGAUUUAUUCCGUAGAAAUCUUUGAUUUAUGUUAUUAUCCCUUUCGAGACUAAAAACAACUGACUCUAGGUUGAUUAAUUGAAAUCUCUUUCUAAUUAAAACCUCUAUUGUCCCAUUAACUCGAUCUAUGGAUUCCCUUAUUAGAUUUAUGUCGUCCUAUCUCUAGGAGUGCAUUCAACUCCGCUUAAUUAUGGAUGAUCUACUCUUAAACAAGAACUUUUUCUCCACUGAUUAAGUACAUCAAAACCUGAAUUAAUACCCUAGAAUAUUAAAAUAAAAAUUUAGAACUCGCAAUUAAGAAUAAGAAUAAGUCUUUAUCAUAUAAUUCAAAUAGUAAUAAGAUUCAUCAUAGGGUUCAUCUCUCUUAGAUAUUUAAGGAGUUUAGUUCAUAAUAAUAAUGGAAGACAUCUCAAAGUUUGGAAAACAACAAAACAUAAAGAAAACCCAAAGAACUUCUAGGAAAUUAGGUGGAAAUCUUCAGUCUUGAUGUCGAUCUUGGCUCCGAGGUGAUUUCGAUGGCUAUUCGCGAGUAUUUUCUGCCUCCAACUCUAUGUGUCCCCCCUCAUCCUCCUAAGGUGUUUAUAUAGGCUUUAAAAUGCUUCAAAACUCUUAAAAGUGCCCUUUUUCAAAUAGAACUAGGCUUGGGCUCGACAGGGACAAGGUCGUGUGCCAUGCCCGUGUGAAGGUGCUCAGGCCGUGUGCAAUACUGAGUUGGUUUUUAGUCGACACGGCCUUGACACACAGGCGUGUAUUCUACCCGUGUGUCACACACGGGCGUGUGGAUUACCCGUGUGGAAGUGUCUAGGCCGUGUGCAACACUAAUUUAGGCCCAAUUUGUCCGUUUUUGGCCCGUUUCUUGCUCUUUUUGCUAUCCUAAGCUCUCCUGAGUAUAAAACAUGAAAUUAAAGGAUUAGGAGCAUCGAAUUCAAUAAAACCAAGGAAAAAUCAUCCAUAAAUAUGUCAAGCAUGGGGUAAAAAUAUGUAUAUCUUACGGUUUAUCAAAUAUCCUCACACUUAAGUAUUUGCUUGUCCUCAAGCAAAAUCCUCAACUCACAAUUAAAAUAAGUUCUUCUCAACUUAUAAUUCUUGCUAAUAAUGUUCGAAAUAAUCCACAAGUAAUCAUAUGUUAAGAGCUUAACUAUAAGAACAUUAAAUUUUCAAACAAUCUAAUACAAGCAUUUUAAUCAUAAAAUUAUAGGUAUCCCCCUUUAUCUAAGUAAUCACCUUUAAUUCCAAAUCGACAAGGUUGACAUCUUCACCAUUGAUUCACUCAAAUCACCAAAAGUGUUUAGGGUUUAAUAAUUAAGCACUCAAUAGUCAAACAUGGAAAGUUAUUACCAUAGGCUUGCAUGAAAAUCAAACCUCCACCACUAUAAUGAAAUGAUACACAAAUCAAAAGGUCUUUAACAGGGUUGUAAUGGGGCUUAGGUUAAAGGUGUGGAUAAAGGCUAAAAAAGAGGGUUAAAAUCGAGAUUAAUUUAACUAAAUUACCAAAUUUAGAAGAGUGAGGCUAAAUGCUGAAUUACAAGAGUGUGCUAGAAUUUGGACUAUCUAAAGCAAAAAAUGUGAGCUUCUUUUUCAUAACAUAACAACUUUAACUCAUCCAAGCUCUUUAGAACAAUAUGUAACUGUAUGAAUAUAAAUAUACGUAUUUUUUUUAAGAAUAAGAAUAAAUAAUGGAACAUACAUAAUAAGAAUUAAUUCAGCAACUGGAAUGAACGAAAAAGAAAUAGAUAACUAAUCAAAUUAAAUCUCAAUAAAAAAAGAAGUCAAUAAAAAGGGAAAAAUUCUUAAUGAAUCAAAAAGGGUUAAGUUAUGGGUUAAUAUUAAGGGAAGAAUUCAAGAAAUAAUAGUUAAGGCUCAAAGGGGUUCACUAGGGGUCAAUUAUGUGGGUAGGCUUUUUAUGGGGUAGAUGGGUUAAAACCUAGGUGUCUUUAUCAUUUUCGCAUAUCAAAUUAAAGGUGUGGUCUCGACAUGUAUAAUAAAUGCAAGUUCUAGAAUAACAAAUCAAUGUUGACACACUCAUAACCAAUAAAAUCAGUGAGCAAGAAAGAUAUAUGAUCUAAAAGGCUUAAAAUCUCACGAAAAUUAUGGGUAUUUGAUGUCAAUCCUGUAAAUUCAAAACUUCAAGAUAAUACCUCAAUUUAGGGAAACAACCUAGCAAUUUUAUUUCUCAAAAAUCAACUCAUCAUGCUUGAUUCCUUAAUUUCUUAAAGUUUAAACAAUUAAUGCACAAUUACCUAUGGUUUAAUUCAAAACAUAUCAAUAAAAAUCAUAGAUCAAUAAGAAUUUACUCUAAUAAUGAUAUGAGAAAAUUAUUUAAGAACAAGAUAAGAUAAAAAAUUCAGUGAUUUUCUAAUAAUCACAUAAAUAUCCUCCCCACACUUAAGGUGUGCAUUGUUCUCAAUGUACAGAGAUAGAUAAUAGCAAUAUAAGCAUAAGAUUAGAAGAGAGGGAGAGAAUAGAAACUGCCCUGAAUUUGAAUGUAAUCUUUGGAAGAGUGGAAAUAGGUUUAGAAGCAUUGAAAGUGAUGUGUAUGUGACAUGUAGAUAGAGGUGAAGGUGGUGGUAGAGGUUUGGUUCCACAAUCACAGUGCCUAGCGAAGAGGUUAUCGUGGUGGUCGAUGUCGUGGUGGCUAUGGUCGUGGUCGAGCAGGACAUAGUAGUCGUGGAUGAUUGUAUGUAUAUGCCUUAGUAGUACCCAUCGACUGAACCUUUUGAAACUACGAUAUUAUUGAUAAUAUUUAAGGGAUUUAUAUGUAUAUGGUUAUUAGGAUUAGCAAUAAUGAAAUAACUAUAUUUAAGGGAUUUAUAUGUAUAUGGUUAUUAGGAUUUAUAUGUAUAUGCCAUUGAUAAUAUUUGUAAGUAAUGGAUAAUGAAAGUGCAAAAGAAAUGCCAAAAUAAAAAUAAAAGAAAAAGAAAAGUAAUUUAAAAAUUAGAUGGACUUAAUAGUCCCCGUCGACAGCUGGAUCGUGAGGUGGUUGUGCUGGAGGCGAUAUGUGAAAAUGUUAGUAGAUUUUUUGUAGUGUCGCCUCGAUGCUGUCGAAUUGCUGAGCGCAAUACUGCUCAAAGCGAUGAAGGUGAUCAAAAACUUCAGAUAUUGAAGCAGUCGCAUGAACUGGUCGGUGACUCGGUGGUGGCUGUAAAGGUGGGUCCUCCUGAAAUACAGGGAUAUCAUCAGGAAUAUCCUCGGCGUCAUCCUCAUCGGUAGCUCGUGCAAUUCGAUACUGAGAAGGGUCGAACCCACGAUGAUGCUCAAUCAUUCACAUGUGGAGCAUACAUUGGAUGCUCUAUGGGGACAUCUGACCAAUGGGAGUGAGCGAUGAAGACUGCGCCACUGUAUUCAGGAGCCCGAAGUAGCGCGCUAGACGAGCUACAUAUAGGCCUAGGCUGAUGACUUCCUUCCGGUGUCGCUCGGUUUGAUGGCAAAAGGCAAGGGAAAUUAAGUUGGCAAGGUAAAAAUUGUACCCCUGCCUCAUGCUCCACAGGAAGUAUGCGUCGUGAGUGUUUACUAAACUAGUGCUCUCUCGUCUCCCUAUUAAGGUGUGUGCCAAAAGAGCAUGGAGAUAUCGCAAAGCUGGAGCUAGCGCCGAUGCCUUGGAACAGCUGGGGUCAUAGAUGCCUGUAGCAGGUAUCAUGGCAUUCUAACAGGAUAAAGGUGUAUAGUGGAUAUGGCGGUGGAGGUGAGGAAAGUUUUCGGCCUCUAUGAACUCGUUCGUAUAUAGUCCCAAAGCGACGCCAAAUUCUGGGACACUCAACUGUCGUACUAGACCGCCAAGUCGGAAUUGGACUGUUCUUGGGUCGUCAUGCUCCGCCAUAACUGUUUGCAUGUGAAAUGUCAAGCAUAAUUCCAAAGUGAACUCUAGGUACGUCGGUUUGACGAUGUCAAAGAAUCGGUCCCAUGGAGCGGUGGCUAAGAGGGCUCGAACCGAAUCAGCUAGAUGGACCUGCUCUAGUGCGUCCAAUCAAUGCAACGGCUCACACUUAGGGGUCGGGCCCGUAGUAUCUGGAGUAAUUCCUCUUGGGGUCCCGGUGGAAAUUAAAGGAAUGGGUGUCGUAUCUCAGCUGUAGGGCCAGAGGAAGAUGUCGCUCUUUUUCAUUUUUCGAGGCAGGAACCACAGUUUUCUUGCCUUUUGGGUUUGUCAUGAUAUUUACAAAGAUGAGUUUUAAUCAUCAAAAUAAUCCCCAAAUCAAGAAGUCAUCUUAAUAGUCCAAAAUACUAACUUCCUCGUAAGAUAAUUAUGAACGAAUAUUCAAGCAUUUCAAAACCAAAUGGUAAUACUGCAUAUGAAACAAAGAGCCAAAGAAAUAGAAACUAACUAAUGAAUCACUCAAUAUAAGUUAUUGCGAAUCUUAUUUAAAACAAAUGGUCCUAAUAUCUAUAUAGUAUAUUCCUACGUUCGAUUUGAAAUAAUGAAAAGGAAGGAACCUUAAAAAUAUUAAAGCAAGAGUAGUAAUAAUAAUAAUACAGUCAUAUAGAACAUGAAAUAAAGAUUUACUAAUGAACUAAGAAAAUUAAUAUUAAAAUAGUAAAACAGAGCUAAGGAUGCAAGAAAGAAAAUCGAGAGUGGUGGUCAGCGAUGGGGUGCGGUGGUGCGUGGCGGCGUGUGCGAGGUGGUCGGAGGUGGAUGGGGAAGAAAGGAGAAGAAUAGAAUAGAAAGGGAAAGAGAAGAGAAAUAAAAGUGGAAAAUAAAGGAUGAGGGUGAAAAAAAUUGAGGAGUAGUGGGGAGAAGAAGGGAGAAUGAGAAGGGGGUUUGUGGGUGAAGGGAAAAGGCUUAAAUGGUGAAAAGGGGGGAAAAGGAAAGAAAGAUGAAGAAAAAGAAAGGAGGAAAAAGGGUGGCUGGAGGAAGAAGAUGAUGAAUAGUAAAUAGGAUAGGGAAAAAGUUAGGGUUAAGGGUAAUUUAAAAGGGGCCACGGUUGUGUAAGCCCCAUUUUAGGCUACACGGCCAUGGCCCAUGCCCGUGUGUCUGGGUUGUGUGGUUCGUAGCCGUGUGCACGUUCAUUCGCUUCUCCCACGUCCGUGCUGGAUUCUCCAUGCCCAUGUUCAUGGUUUAUGCUUAUGAAUUGAUGUUUCAAGUCAAUAUCGCAAACUGCCGAUGGACACGCCUUUGUCUCUAGGUCACACGGCCACAUCGCAUGGCCAUUUGUGCUCCAUUUGUUUCUCCCACGCCCGUGUCCCAUCCAACACGCCCGCGUCUAUUAGUUAGGAUUAUGCACGACCCUUAAGCACAGCCGUGGCUUUCAUUCGUGUUCUAUCCUGACUUCAUUUAUUGUUUUGAUUUUUGGGCAAGUCCUCACACGGCCUCACAUACGCCUGUGUAUCAGGCCAUGUGACUCCCACGGCCAACUCGUACGGUCGUGGUGUUUUAUCUUAGGUCGUGUCUCUACUGAAUUUUUGUGAAAAUUAAGGUGCAGUUUUACCACAGUCUAAGACACGUCCGUGUCCCUUAACCGUGGGCUUCACAAGGCCGUAUCGUACGACCGUGGCUCUCUUGUCACAACCCGUGUGCCUCUGUUUUGGGAAAAAUGUAAGUCCUGUUUCAGCACGGCCUUGGCCAUGCCCAUGGGUCCAGGCCAUGUUCAAUACUAUUGAUCAUCUCAUUAAAGUGCUCAAGGUCUACACGGUUCCAAGCAUGCCCGUGUCUCCAUCCCAUGGGUGUCACACGGCAUAGGACAUGCCCAUGGGUCCAGGCCGUGUUCUCCCCUGUCAAAUGCCAUAAUUACCUACAGUUGAACUAUAAACAGUUAAAGAAAAAGUAAACCCUAUUUAGUGAGGUUAGUGCUUGGGUUGCCUCCCAAAAAGCGCUUAUUUAAAGUCUAAGCUCGACUUUACCUUGUGACAUAUUUAGGUAGGUUCGUGGAGCCGUAGCUCCUCUCUAUUAUCCUUAAAAUCCUCACUAUUAUAAAGUUUAAGACGAUGUCCAUUGACCUUGAAGGUGCUGUGAGUUGGAUGACUUACCUCUACUAUGCCAUAUGGAAAAAUAGUUUGGACGAUGAAUGGACCUAACCAUCGUGAUUUUACCUUCCCAGGAAAUAAUUUGAGCCUUGAGUUGUAUAGCAAGACAAGAUCUCCAGCUUCAAAUUGCUUAUGUUGCUUUAAAUGAGCAUCAUGGCGAUGUUUCGUGGCUUCCUUGUAUAGGCGUGAAUUAUCAUAUGCAUUAGUUCGUCACUCAUCUAACUCGUUCAACUGCAUCAACCUGUUUUCACCUGCAAGUUUGAGAUCGAAGUUUAGAAACUUUAUGGCCCAGAAUGCCUUGUGUUCUAACUUAAACGGUAGAUGACAACUUUUUCCAUAAACAAGUUUGUAAGGGGAUGUUCCUAUGGGGGUUUUAAAAGCAGUUCUAUAAGCCUAAAUCAUCAUCUACUUUCAUCGCCCAAUCCUUCCUGUUUGAUUCUACUGUCUUUUUUAGGAUACUUUUAAGUUCUCGGUUGGCUACUUCGACUUGUCCACUAGUUUGAGGAUGGUAAGGUGUAGCUGUUCUAUGGUGAACUCCGUAUUUCAUAAGGGUCUUAUCAAAUUGGGCAUUAGAAAAAUGAGUACCUCUAUCACUGAUAAUUUCUCUAGGUGUUCCAAAUCGAGAGAAGAGUUUCUUAAGGAAUCGUACUACCACUCUAACAUCAUUAGUAGGUAAAGCUUGGGCUUCCACCCAUUUGGACAUAUAAUCGAUGGCUACUAAGAUGUAUUUAUUCCCAAAUGAACUAGGGAAUGGACUCAUAAAGUCGAUACCCCAAACAUCAAAUAUUUCACAUGAAAGCAUGUACGUUUAGGGCAUUUCGUCACGUUUAGAGAUAUUACCUGUUCGUUGGAAUUUAUCGCAAUUAGCAACAUACCUGUUUGCGUCUUUGAAUAGUGUAGGCCAAUAAAAACCUGAUUCGAGUGUUUUAUGUGCGGUCUUAUUUCCACUGUAAUGUCCCCCAGUCAGUCCUGAGUGGAAAUACUCUAAUAUUUUAAAUGCUUCUGACCUUGUAACGCAUCUCCUAAUGACUUGAUCUGCACAUAUACGGAAAAGAAAAAGGUCUUCCCAAAAGUAGUUUUUCACAUCAGUAAAGAAUCGCUUCUUUUGCUGAUGUGUCAACCCUUUUUGGAUAACUUUAGCGGCUAAAAAAUUCGCAAUGUCUGCAAACCAAGGUACUUCAGAAUAAGAUAUAGCAAAGAAUUGUUCUUCAGGAAAUGAAUCAUUUAUUUCAACUUCAUCUAGCUCUUUGGUACUUGAAUUUUCAAGCCUGGAAAGAUGAUCAGCCGCGAGAUUUUCAGCUCCUUUCUUAUCCUGAAUCUCCAAGUCAAAUUCCUGCAAUAACAGAAUCUAUCGAAUGAGUCGAGGUCUUGCAUCAGUCUUAGUUAAAAGGUAGCGAAGAGUAGAAUGGUCAGUAUAAACAACAACUCUAGACAAUAUUAGAUAUGACCUAAAUUUAUCGAAUGCAAAAACCACAGCUAGCAGCUCUUUCUCUGUGGUGGUGUAGUUUUCUUGUGCGGCUGUCAAAGUUUUGCUAGCAUAAUAGAUAGGUUGAAAAUGCUUGUCUCUUUCACUACAGGAAAAUAGGGUUUUAGCGGCGUUUAAUCAAAAAAUGCCGCAAAAAUUGUAAAACACAGAGCAAUAGUGGCGUUUUACCAAAAACGCCGCUAAAAACGGAGCAAUACCGGCAUUUUUUGUUAAAACGCCGCUAAAAAUAGAGAAAUAGCGGCUCUUUUGGUAAAACGCCGCUAAAAACCAGAGCACUAGCAGCGCUUUUGGUAAAACGCCGCUAAAAACCAGAGCAUUAGCGGCGCUUUUUGUAAAACGUCGCUAAAAACCAGAGCAUUAGCGGCGCUUUUUGUAAAACGCCGCUAAAAACCAUAGCAUUAGCGGUGCUUUUUGUAAAACGCCGCUAAAAACCAGAGUAUUAGCGGCGUUUUUUGUAAAAUGCCGCUAAAAGUCAUAUAACCCCUAAAAUAUUAAACCCCAAAAAAUAUCAUAAACACUAAUCUAUAACCCUUAAACGAGUAAACCCUUAAACCUUAAAAACACUAAACACUAAAUUAUAUCCCCUAAAACCCUAAACCCUCCCACCGCCAAGAUUCACCCCUCCCACCAGCCUUCCUGUCAAUAUCCCGUAAUCCCAUCUAUCAUUUUCCCCGUUUUUUCCCAUUUCUAUUUCCCCCUUUUUCCUCAUCCUAAAUCCCUAAAGUAUUAUCACCCAUUCCAGAAUUCGACAUCCCAAAUCCCUAACGAUUUUUCCCCGAUUUGAAUUCCCCAAGAUUCACCCCUCCCACCGGCCUUCCAGUCAAUACCCCGUAAUUAUUUUUGGUAUAUGACAAAUUAUUUUUUAAUUUAUAUGUUAAAUAUUUUCUUAUAUAAUUGUAAAAGAGAUUGUAUUAAUUUUAAAAUAUUGAAUUGAUUAGCAUUAUAGUUUAGGGUUUAUGGUAUAUGGUUAAUGGUUUAAUGUUUAUGAGUUACUAUUUUAAGGUUUAGGGAUUAUGGUUUAAGUGUGGUUUAAGGGUUAGGGUUUAAGGUUUAGGUGUUAGGAGUUAGGGGUUAGGGGUUAAGGAUUCAUGAUCAGGGUUUAUGUUUUAGGAUUUACGGUUUAGGGAUUAGGAAUUUAGGGUUUAAAUUAAUUAGUAUUUUUUAAUUUAUAUGAUAAAUAUUUUAUUAUAAAAUUAUAAAAAAGAGUAUUAAUUUUAAAAUAUUGAGUUAAUUAUAUUUAGAGUUUAGAGUUUAUGGUUUAUGGUUUAAGACUUAUGAUUUAGGGUUUAGUUUUUAGUGUUUAGGGAUAAAUAUGGGGAUCAGGGUGCAAUUGUAUAUAUGAACUUUAAUUUAAUCUAGUUCUUAUAAAUUAUUAACACAAUUAUUGAUAUAACAUCAUUUUAUAUUUAUAUAUUGCAUACAUAAAUAUUUAUAUUUAUUCAAUAUAAAAAUAUAUUAAUGUAUUUAUUUUUUAAAAUCUCUAUGAUUAAAUCAAGAAUAAAAAACUUAAACAUUUAAUAUUUAAAAUUUAAAAUUUUAGUCCAUAUUUCAAUUAAAAAGUUUAAUAUUCAAAAUUUAAAAAAAUCUAAAAAAUGAUAAUCUCAACACAAAAAUUUUGAAAGAAAAAAUUAGAAAAAAAUAUGUUAAAAAUAAAAAAAUUAAAAUUGAACAAUAGUAGCGUUUUUAGUGAAAACGCCGCAAAAAAUUAAAGAGGCCAUUAUUUUUUAUAAAAAAAAAAGCAAAAUCCCGCUCAUCCAAUUUGUUUACCCGCUCAUUAAUCAAAUCCCUAAAUACUCCUUUUACUCUCAAAAUUUGAAUUCACCCACCAUAGCUACUCCUUUUCUAUCGAUCUGUUAGGGUUUUGGAGAAACAAAUAGAUAUUGAAGAGAAGGAGAACGAGGAAAAAGAAGAAGAAGAAGAGGAAGAGAAGACGGGGGAGGAGGAAGAAGAAGAGAGUGAAGAUGAAGGGACUAAAAAGGUCAAAGGUAGUAGUAGAAAGGGGAGUUCUAGGAAAUCUGGUCGAGAUUCGGCUGAGAAGAAAGAGCCAGUGACGCCUAGUAGUGAAGAUGGGUUCAUCGCCUGCACCACUUCCGUCCAACGAUAGUACUGCCAUUGAUCAAAGAGUUGCUUUCAUUCUCCUUUUACUUGCUCUGGCCCUCUAUGUUAUACCAUAGCUCCAGUUAACGAUGGGAUUAAUUAACGAUGGGAUUAAUUAAAGUUGCAUAACUCCAGUUAAUCUUGGCCCUCUUUGUCUUUUCUCUUUGGUAUCUAAACUGGUUAUAUUAACGUUUUUGUUUCUAGUAUUUAUAGCUUCUACUUUGGAAUCAGAAGUUAUUGGUAGGAAGUGUUGAGAAUUGGAGCUAAUUUGGUGUAAUACGCUUGUUUGACAGGUUUCAUGGUUUCUUUUGGAAGGCAGCCAGAAUAGGUGGGUCUCCUUUGCUGCUUGGUUAACUUCUUUCUGGUUGCAUUGAGAAUUUGGAAUAGUCAUGUAAUCUAAUGAUUUUGAUCCUAAUAAUAGCUCCUUUUCGUUUUUUUUUUAAUUUGGGGUUCUUUUUAUGACUAUUUGCAUGUUUGCUUCUUUCGAUUAUGUUACUGUUCUUUGGAUGAUCAAAAUUCCUAUCUGAAGAAAUUUAGUCCAAAUUUGUUUCUGUUUUGCUUUCUUAAUAAUGGGUUGUCAAAUAUGACGUUAAUUUACACUUCAUUUUUUUGGGUUUUUUUUAAAAUAAUUAUUUG